UGUGUAUUUGAGGUCGAUGACUCAAUAUGUUCGAUCAGAUUGUGGCAUGGCCGAUGGUAAAGAAGAACCAACUAUCAUGUUCGAGAACGAAGCAUAUUCUGCCUAAGAUCUUCAUCACCCACGGAUUGCAGAAAAUUGGAGAGGUCUAAGGGACCUUCAGUAAUGUCCAAAUCAAGGGGAGUAAUAUGUGUUGUACUCUUUUUCCUUCGCCAUGGAUACGCAUCAGGCCAUUUAGUGAGCAUAGAUAUCCCCUAUCACAAUUAUUAACGGGCCAAGAGCCAGACAUACCCCAUCAUAAGACAUUUGGAUGUGCUAUCAUCAGAUUGUGGAUGGCUCAUAACCAAGAGAUUAUGAUUUGUAAUCUUUCCAUUUAUCUAUAACGGUGUAAUCUCCUAUAUAAGGAACCUCAGUGUUAUGAAUAAAGAUAAAUUUUUCCGUUACUUUUAUACCAUUCUUCUGACAUAUCAAUCAAGUUAUUUUACAAAAAUAUAAACAACUUUAUAAUUUCGUGAAGAGUAAGUAUUAAUCCACCAACUAUUAUUCAUGUUCUUAUCUGCCUACUUAUAUAUAUGCCUUAAAUGGCAAGAAUACUUAAGAGGGGUUAUUGGUUUAUAUAUUUUGAUUGAUUUAAAAAUCUAUGUAUUAUUUAUAAAUCCAAGUAAAAUAUACAGAUUUUUAAAUUUUUUCGGAUUAAUAUUACAAAUCUGGAGGUCUUCCCUCGGAUUUGAAAGCACCAACAAAUUUGAUGUCCAAGAAGAGACACAGUCAAGUUCCUACAGAGUCAAUGGGUUAUUAGUUGUUGUAUUUUAAUGGAUUUGAAAAUCCGAACCAAAUCUAGUGUUAUUGGUUCAAUAAUUUUUAAAUCUGUAUUCAAAUCAUAUGUUAUUGGUUUAAUGAUUCAUAAAUUCUAUAUCAAAUCAAGUGUUAUUCAAUCUUACGGAAUUACUAAUAAAUUUGAUUUUAUAAUGGAUUUUAAUGGAUUUUUUUGUUAAAAAUACAAAGACUCAAAUUUGAGGGAAAACCUCCGGAUUAAAAAAAUAAUAAAGCUGGUAAAAGAAUGGUAAAAGAAAUAGAAUGGAAUCAACCAUCAAUGUCUUGGCAAGAUCCUCGGACUAAAGAAUGUGAAAUAGACGUCCAAAGAUUAUACAUUUACAAAGCUAGCUAAUCAAAUGCCAAACACAUUUGCGGACCCGAAAAAGAAUGACUAAGUCAUAUAUAAACCAGCUUGUAAAGCACCAACAAAUUUGAUGUCCAAGAAGAGACACAGUCAAGUUCCUACAGAGUCAAGACAACGUAUGAAACUUGGUAGACCAAAUAGGUUCCAAAAGAUAAGAAUCCUCGGAAACAAAAGAAAGGUGCAGAGAAUGAUAAUCAAAAUCCAAAUCCGAGGUUACUAAGGAAAUCAUCCUAUACAUGGAGAUAAGGCCGGCCGGCUCUAAGGUAUAGGUACCAAACAAUGUAGCUAGGGACGCCAAGCUGCAAAGUAUUAAAGGUCCUGAUAAUAAUGAAUCUCAAUCGAUUAUAUCAUGUCUGGAACAUAGUGGAACCAAUAAGGAAUAUCGACAUAAGAUGAUUUAUUUGCAUACAAGGUAGCACUUGAAUUUAUGAAUAUAGGCGAGGAUCAUGAACCCACAUCAAAAUAAGAGUGUGCACUCAUAGAACAGAUUGGAUUGAAUGGAAACGUGGGGUUAAAUAGUUUAAGGAAGAAAGACGUAUUUGGCCAUAUGAUUAAGACGCCAUAUGAUGUUAAAUCAGUGGAUAUAAAUGGGUCUUGUGAGUAAUAGAAAUCGUGAGAUAUAAAGCUGAUGUUGCACAAAGAUUCUCACAAAGACCAAUAAUAGAUUAUGAGGAGACAUACUCUCAUGUGGUGGAUGCAACUACUUUUAGAUUUCUCAUAAGUCUGGCUAUAUAAGAGAGAAAAUUAGACUUGCAGCAAGUUGAUGUAGUGACUGCAUAUUUAUAUGGUCCACUGGAUAAUGAAAGUACUACAAGGUAUAACCUCCGGAUUUGUAAAUACUAAUCCGAAAAAAUUUAAAAAUCCACUCUGAAUAUCCUAGGAACCUCUGGAUACAAUUUCCCAAACAGUUGGCAUGGAUUUCUAAAUCAAUCAAAAUAUAUAAACCAAUAACACCUGCUCAGUCUUUGUAUUUUUAACAAAAAAAUCCAAACAAAUCCAUUCAAAUCCAUUAUAAAUCAAAUUUAUUAGUAAAUCCAUACGAUUGAAUAACACUUGAUUUGAUUAGAAUUUAUGAAUCAUUAAACCAAUAAUACAUGAUUUUAAUACAUAUUUGAAAAUCAUAGAACCAAUAACACUAGAUUUAGUUCGGAUUUUCAAAUCUAUUAAAAUACAACAACCGAUAACCUCCACUUAGUUACACGUUCUUGGCUGCUUAUAUAUAUGCUUUUUUUUUUUUUUCAACAAACGGUUAUUUUAUUACUCAAACUUAAGGUGGUCUGGGUAACCAGACCAGAAUAGAACAACCAAUAAAGCAAAGAGAUUUAUAAAAAGAACAAACAUUCCUAGUUAGAAAAUCACAAUUUCAUUUUGCAUCCUUGUGAAGUAGCUGAUCUUGAAGUCCGGAAAACACAUCUGGAGAAUUUGAAUGACCUCCAGCUCAGUUUAGAAGUUUGGCCAAGCUUGUGGAUCCGUUAUCAUUGCAAUCAGGUCCUUGCAAUCUGUCUCAAAUCUCUGACAGGUCGAAUAUUGUAGCAUGCUCUCCAUUGCCCAUCUUAGCGAUUCCAGUUCCGAGUGUAAUGUUGUCUCACGCCUCCUUAAGUUUCGUUUCCCCAUAAGUUGGAUCUUUCCCAUGCUAUCCUUUCAAACCCAUCCAAUUCCACUAAAUUGAUAUGUGGAGGUCCAUGAGCCAUCCACCGUACAAAAAUUACCCAAGCUUAAGGCUUGUGUUUCUUCAGCAAUUUGUGCUUGUGGAGGAGAAAUUAUAGUAUCCUUUGCAUUUUACAAUGUCUGGCACUCACUCUCUGCAUACCUGACUAGCUCCAACGGAUCCUGUCUAUACCUAUGAAUAUCUUAUCAUUCUUAGCCUUCCAAAUGUACCAGAUUAUCCAAGGAUAAGGGUCUCUAUCAUCUUCUGGCUCCAUAAUACUAUUCCUCCUCCAAAAAGAUAGUCUAAAUUGGCAUAGAUACCCGAGAUAGGGAAAGUUUGAGAGCUUGACGGUAUUGAUGAUAAUGCCCAUGCUUGUAAGGCCGGUGGGCAUUCGAAGAUCGCAUGAGUAACAGAUUCUUCUGGUUCUCCAUAUCUUGGGCAGUAGUUAUCACAUCGCAUAUUGCGGCGUACCAGAUUUCUUGUGACCGCUACCUGCCCUGAAAUUAAUUGCCAAAUAAAAUGACAAUUAUUUUGUGGUGCAUUCACCUUCCAAGUAAAGACUUGAAGUUUGGUUAUACUGGGCUCUAGAACUUCUUUUUCUCCGUCAUCUGUCUGUAUAUUUUGUAGCUACCCAAUAUCCAGACUUGACUGUAUAUAUACACUUUGAAAAGAAAUAAUACUUAGUUACUAUAGAUUUUUGUUAAGAUUUUGAGCUUGCAAUUUUAGUAGGGGUUAUUGGUUGUUGUAUUUUAAUUGAUUUGAAAAUCCGAACUAAAUCUAGUGUUAUUAGUUCUAUGAUUUUCAAAUCUGUAUUAAAAUCAUGUGUUAUUGAUUUAAUGAUUCAUAAAUUCUAUAUCAAAUCAAGUGUUAUUCGAUCGUACAUAUUUACUAAUAAAUUUGAUUUUAUAAUUGAUUUGAAUGGAUUUUUUUAGAUUUUUUUGUUAAAAAUAAAAAGACUCAAAUCCGAGUGAAAACCUCCGGAUUUGUAAAUACUAAUCCGAAAAAAUUUAAAAAUCUGUAUAUUUUACUUGAAUUUAUAAAUACUACAUGAAUUUUUAAAUCAAUCACAAUAUAUAAACCAAUAAAACUAAUUGAUGUUUUUUAACUUUUUUCCUUGAAAUAAUUAUGUGUAUAGCAAUUAGUCUCGACAUAAUCUAUCAUACCUUCUUCGAAAUAAAGUUUCUUUUUUACUAGCUAUUUCGACGAAAUUGAGUCUUCCUUAGACCAUCAAUUAGUUGAUGAUCGAGCCACUUUCCGAGUAGAAUUAAUAGGUCCGGAUGUAGGCCCGCUUUGAUAUCAUUUGAAAAUUCAAGGGUUUCGGACUUUAAACCAAGCGAUAACUAGAUUGGCCCAAAUCUUUUAUAUAUUACUUUAGUUACUUUCGUAUUUUCAAAGUAAGAUUUUAUCUCCAAAAGUUUUAGACAUUAGUCUUUAUUUCAAUUCAAAACUAUCUGAUUACAGAAAAACAAAUAAAGAACGAUUAUCUUUUGCUUUUUUGGUAAUAACUUGUCAAACAUAUUCAAAGCCUUAGAGAAUGACAAAAAAAUACAAACGGUUUCAAAACUGUAAUAAAAAAAUUAUAGAUUAAACAAGAUUUGACGUGGAAGCACCCUUAGCCAACUGAUUAAGGUUUAAAGGUUUUUACACGUAGGUCCGGGGUUUGAAUCCCACACUAUGCAAUUUCUUGCAGAUUAUAUGAUACGAAGCUUAUCGGAGGUUCAAGACUACUAAAUGCAGAACUGUUUGUUGUGGUCAUCUUCUGCGGAGAGAUCUUGUCUAUUGAGGAUGUCGAACAUGUAGAACUAUCUGUCGAUCUAAGUGUUUCGGAAGAGAUUCAUAAUAGAAUCAUUAUUCGUAGAGUUGUUCAUCAAUAUUGCUUUUGUAACAUGUAGUUGAUCAUCAGAACUAAAUAGAGUUAUGAAAUUAUACGUGAUAUGUAUUAUCCAGUGUUGAAAAAAAAACAGGAUUUAAAAGGUAGAAUAAGAUAUGAAAUUAAUGUAUUUAUUGAGAUGGUGUGAACAGAAUUUAAAGGAGUAAAAACUAACAAAAGUAAUAAAGGAUAUAUAUAGCCUUUAUAAUAGUAAAAAAAGGAAUUUAUCCAAUGUUGAUCAUCAUCUUGACAAAUUCAUCAUAAUUGACUUGACCAUCACCAUCCAGAUCUGCCUCCUUAAUCAUUUGUUCAGCUUCUUCAUCGGUUAGCUUUUCCCCUAGAUUUAUCAUUACAUGACUCAACUGCAAUAACAAAGCUUGUUACAUUAAUAAAAUAAAUCACGACAUUUUCUUAGUUGUAAAUAAGCUCAAUCUGAAGGCCCGUCCAACGUUUCCGAAAGUUCUUUCCCCAAAAACAAUUAUCUCUCUUCGGAUUUGAGUUUUGUUUAUCCAUGGCUAAGUGUGCUUUGUAUUGGGUGUUUCACCACUGAUCGACCACGGACGACGUAUAAAUGAAAUUGAGCGUCUUAUAGAGACUAUAAUAGUCUUUCUGCUACAAAUAACAGUUGGUCAAAUAUGAUCUUUAAAAACAUCGUGAACAUAAUGCUUUGUUAAAUAUAUAUAGUUCUUAAACAACAUAACUUGUUUUGGCCUAAGCUUGACCAUAAGCUUCGAAUAAACGUGAAAUUUGAUCAGUCCAGCCUAUAUAAUACUAGAAAAAAAUUGCUGCAUGAACUCCAGCUUAUUAUUUUGUAAUUUUGUAAAAAGUUGUUAGACAUGCUCAGGUGAAAUGAACUAUUAGCUUCUACUUAAAAGAAUGCUAUUUAAAUUGCAAACCCUGUUAUUAAGAAAUUUGUAUAUACUUCCUCCAUUUUUUUAUAAUUGACGUUUUAGAAAAAUAUUUUGUUUUAAAUUAGAUGAUGUUUUCAAUUUUAAACAUGAAAUAUAUUAUUAUUUUGUGUUAUAUAACCAUUUAAAUUCUGCAGUCUAUUUCGUUAUGAGUUAAUUUAUUGUUAGGUGAAUAAUUAAUAGUUUUGUUUAAAAAUAUAUAACAAUUAAUGGCUUAUUAAUCUAUGUGUAUAACAUAUUUUAGGAGUGCAUGCAAAAUGUGCAAAUAUAAAAAAAAAUACGUAUUAUGUAACUUUUAGGGAUGUAAGCAACCACUUUUUUUUGGUCAAACAAACACAUAUUUAAUUUUAAUUAAACUAGGUGAAACAUGUGCUUUCCUGUUCCAACAAACCAAUCGAUUCAAACGCAUUCUACUAUCUACAUGUAACUAUUUCCCAUUAAUUAUUUUUCCCUCGUUCUUCUGCAAAGAUUCACAAUGCCAGCUAGCUGUAAGUCUUCACGAUGUAAAACAGAAUUUCGAAAAUAUAAUAUCAAAUAACUAAAUAGCUACUAUUGUUAUUUUAUCAAAAAAUGUUAAGAUCAUAAAUGAGACAAAUAUGGAUCUCUUUUUCUGAAAAAAAGAGACAAAUAUGGAUCUCUUUAAAUUCAAAGAUUGUCUGGCCUUGUUGUCUGAUUUUUGUUAUUGUUAUUAAAUAUGUCCAAGUCUGUUUAAUUUAGCUGUAUUUUUCAUCUGUCUGCGUUUAUAAUGCAAAAUUAAUUGAACAAAUGGGUCUAUAAACUUAUGAUGGUUAGCCGGAUUUGACAACAUGAAAAUAUAGAGCAUGUACCACUUAAGCAGCUACAACAUUUUAUGAAAUUGGUUCAUGAACGCAAUCAAAAUCGACAAAAACUCAAUUUAGAUAAGGAUCUAAAUAAUUAUGUCUCUAAUCAUUUAUAACAAAAAUACAGUUAGACCGUACAUGCUAUUAUUGGAGAACGUUGUACAAAAACGCAAUCCAGUGCAUUGAACUAAUUGUUUAUUGUUUGUAUACUCUACUUAAAAUAAAUCAAGCACAUAUGUAUAAAAAAGACGGCAUCAAGUUUUAAAAUUAUUUUUCUCAAAAAAAAUAAUACUCAAGUUUUAAAAUUUUAAAAUAAAGAGAAAAAUAAGAGUCACGGACCUCACUGGCAGAUAUAUAACCAUUUUGGUCUUUGUCAAAGACUUUGAAAACUUCUUUAAGCUCCUCUUCUGCGUCACUUUCCUAUACCAUCACCACAACAACAAAUUAACAAAUAAAAUUGUUAUAAAAUAUAUAGUCUCUUUUUAGAAUAUAAAAACAGAGAUCUUCUCAAAUCAGAGUUGUUACUUGUUUUUUUGGUACAAAAUUUGUUACUUGUUAUGAUGAGUAGAGAACAAGUAAAUGCAUAGAAAGAUGAGAAAAUACUUGAUGUGAUCAAAUGUUUAAAAAUAUAAGAAACUAAUAUGCAGAAGUAUAAUGAAUGAGAUAGCUCCAUUUUUUGUCAAAAAAAAAAAAGAGAUAGCUCCAUUCUUCACAAAGAAUCAGAAAUGAACGUAAUUAAUAUAUGGAGAGAUAAAGAGAGAGGAACCUGAAGUUUCUUGGCCAUGAGGUUCAGAAACUCAGCAAAUUCAAUGGUGCCAUUGCCAUCAGAGUCGAUCUCAGUGAUGAUAUCUUGAAAUUCUUGUUCUGUCGGAUGCUGAUCUAAGGAACGAAUGACUAUUGCAAGGUCUUCCACCGUUAUACAACCUAUUAUUUGAUUAUAUUCCAAAACAACAAUAUAGAUGUCACACCACAUAUCAAUUUUCCAAAUUUUAUCUAUAUAAUCAUCUAGAGGAAGCAAGACAGAACCGUCGCCGUCUUUGUCGAAGAGACAAAAAGCCUCUUUGAACCCAAUGAUCUCAUCUUUUGUCAGUGCUAUCUUUUCCAUUGUUUUUUGGGAAUUUUUUUUUUGAGAGAGAGAGAGAGAGAGAGAGAGAGGUUUUGAUGAAUCUCUGAUUUGUGGUCUAUUUGUAGAGUCGUUACAAGAACUUUCUUUCUUCUUUUUUGCACCAAAAACUUUCUUCUCUGGACUCAUGUACUUUUUCAACUAUUUUUUAAAUUAAACUUCAAAUCAUUUUAAGUUAUUUGAACAGAAAAAAUGUUAAAAAGGAAAUUUUAUUUAUUCAUUUUUUUUUAGAACUCUUGUACUAAAUUUUUUAAUUCUUUUUUUAUUAUCAAAACACGAAGAAACAAUAAAAACAACAACUGCGCUAACAAAAUAGGAACAAAUAAGUAAGAUACCAGAUACUACUUGCAAACAUUUAAGAAACUAGAUGUCGCUUUCAGGUCUAGGGAAUCAAAUUAUAAUAGACCAUGGAUAUCAUUCAUAUUAAUGGUAUAAGGUCAAAUACUUAUAUUUCCAUGAAUAUGAAUCACUGAUAUGAGAUAAGGCAGACAUGGUUCAUAGAAAUCUUGUUUUUACUUUGGGAAAGCUAGGGAUACUUGUAACAUCUCAAAAUUUGAUACUUGUAACAUCUCAAAAUUUCAAAUCUAAAAUUGUUUGGAUUUUAAAGCGAAAGCUUUUAAGUACAUAGUCUGUUAGGGUUAAACCUACGGUUUUUCCUCUUUUUUAUAAAUAAAUCUUUACCACCUCUAUUUUCUUCCGUCACAAAUUCAUAACGAAGCCCUGCAGAGAUCAAGAGAGUCGUUAGGCCUGGGUGUUCGGGUACCGUUGGCAUUCGGGUCGGGUUUUUCGGGUUUUCGGGUUUUCAGGUUUAUGCUCCUAAGUCCCCUACUAAAAUUUUAUUAGUAUGGGUCGGGUUCGGAUAAUAACACUUCGGGUUCGGUUCAAAAUUAUAUUGCGUCCUAAAACCCAUAAAGUAAUCAUAUAUCGUACAGAUUCGGUUUAUAUCGAUUCGGUUCAGAUAUAACCGAAGUAAAAAACAAAAACUUUGAAGCAAAACAUAAAAAAAACAUCUAAAUUAAAUAAAAAAUUAAUCUGUCACACAUAAAAUUGAUAAAAUAACAAUAAAAUAUUAAAUCAAGCAUGAAAACAAAUAUCAUUAGUAAACAAUAUGUAUUGCCUUAUAGAGAGUAGACUUUUUAUUUUAAUGAAAAAAUUAUAAAAUACUUAUUUAUAGCUAAUUGUGUACUUAAAGCAUAUAUUAAAAUUUUAAUAUUUAUUAUUAUAUAUCAUAUUACCACAAAUAUUGAAUUUGAUAAUUGAAAUACUUAUAUAUAUUUCAAAAUAUAUAUAUUGACUAUUAAUUUCAGACUUUUCGGGUUACCCGUUCGGGUUCGGUUAAUGACAUUUCGGGUUCGGAUAUUUCUGUACCACCCUACAAGAUCCAUUCGGAUAUUUUUACAUUUCGGAUUGGAUAACGGGUCGGGUUUUUUGGUUCGAGUUCGGUUCGGAUUUUGGGUUGCGGAUUUUAUGCCCAGGCCUAAGAGUCGUCAUGCUCUCACUCUCUCUUUCUCUCUCUCUCUCAAUUAAAAAAUUGCACUUCAUAUCAAUUAAAAAUUAACUUGUAAGUUUUUGUUUAAUAUUUUUACAUUAGUUCAAAAAAAGAUGAUUAAAAUGAUAAUAAAUACAUUGGAUUAGAAAUAGAAAAGCGUCUAUUAAACUAUGAUAAGAUCCAUUAUCCCAGCCUGAAAACUGAGAAAAUUUACCAAUAUCUUAACUGUUUGCUAAACUUAUAAAGCAGACACAAACUUCCAAAACUGGGGAAAAUUACCAAUAUUUUAACUGUAUGUUAUUGUAUGUAAAUAUCUACAUGGGACCGGUAGAUGCAACGAUCUUCGUUCCAAUGAGAGUUGAGUUUUUAGAUGAUGUUGCGAUGUCACAUGUUAUUGUGAUUAAUCGUUCGUUUCCAGAGGUUCAAGUGCGAUGAGAGUCUCUCAUAGAUUUGAUCGCAAGUGGCAUUUUUGAUAUUUUACAUAACUCUUUAUCAAAUUUUUAUAAGUUUGUGUUUCUAUCUUUAUUUUAUCUUCUUUUAUAUGUUUAGAAGUUAGCCUUGGUUCGUACAUCGUAGCUUGUAUGAUGUUGCUAUUAUUCUUGUAAUUGCUUGAACCUAUUAAUUAAAAAUUUAGUGCACCCAAAAAAAGAUCCAUGAGCCAAGAGAGUUUUCAUUUUUCAGGAAAUUAUAAGUUUUGCAAAACACACAACUAGUUUCUUUUUUCUACAUAAUAUUUUUGUUUGCUUUUGAUAAAUUUGAUAAAAAGGUUUUACACGUCAUAGAUCAUUAUUAAUAAGAAUAUGUCUGCUAAAAGAUCGUAAUCAGAACAUCUAUUGCUAAGAAAGAUUUUAGUAGAGACAGACAUUGAAUCUGGUAUUCCCACAAUAGGGAAAAUGCAUGUAUUAUUGUUUGGUUAGCUACGUUGAAUUGAAUUGACUUUAUCGCUUGCAUUAUAAGUUCAUAAGCACGAUAAAAAAAAAAAAACGAAGCAAAUCAAUGGACGACAAAAAUCUGAAACAAAUACGCGCUAAAUCGAUAUACCAUUAUUCGAUGUUGAAUAUUAGGCAUGAGAUUUAUUAUCCUGGAUCCGGAAUCGAUCCGAGAUUCUCUCUGGAUCCGCUCCGAAAAUAGGAUAUCCAGGCUGCUUGAAUUCGAAUACGAAUACUAAAAUCUUGGAUCCGUCAAACAUGAUACCUCUGGAUUCAUGGUGUUCUUCGAUAAUUGAUGAAGGAAAAGAAGAGGGUUCACGAAAUUAGGAUAAGAGAAUUGGAGAGAGAAUAUAAGGGACUUUUCGAAAAAUAGGAAAGUGAUUUUUGAAUUUUUUUUAAAAAAUUAUUUUUUCAGUUAGUUAGAGUUUUGAAAGUGACCGGUUAGUUAGAGGAGUUAGAGUUAGAGAAUGUAGUUGAACCUUAUAUAAGAGCAUGUCGGACACUGUACAUGAAGAAAGUGUGCAUCUAGAAACAAAUGUCCCUAUGUGCAAUUUGUAAGCGACAAUAUGUCUUAAAGCGUAAAAGUUUCUUUUAAAACUCAACUCUAGAGAAAUUGCAUCAAGAAGAGCAGCUUUUACAGCGAGUGUCUCUGCUGCUAAAGCUGAAGCAAUUAGACGAUCUCCUGAGUUGUAUCUGAUGAUACCAUUCUUAGAGUCCUUAUUGUCCAGCCAAGCCCACCACUAUGUAAAACUCCAUCUCAAGCUGCAUCUACAUGAAAAUUCAGGUGUGUGAGAGAAAAGCAUGUCUCUCAAUGCAAAACAGAGGCCCAUCAGUGUGAUAUUUAUCAGCAGCCCACAAAAACAAUGAACUGAACUCAGUUUGAUUUAUUGGUUCUAGUUAAAGUGUUAACAUAACUCUUAUAAAUAAAUAUUUUGAUUUGGUUUUGUCACUUCGCCCGUUACAACUAGAUCACUUAUUUCUCUAUUUUUUCUUUUAAAAUAGAAAAAUUCUAUAAUACAGAUGGAUUUAUCUGUAAUGUAUUCAUCUAUUUCUUCUUUUAAAAAGAAAUAUUCUUUAUAUAUUCUUUUCUAAUUUUACAAAUAGUAUUUUUUUAUUUGUAAAAGUUGAAAACCAACCUAAUUUAGUUUAACAUUCAUAAAAUUAUGAUAUUAUUUACACUAAAUAUUUUUAUAGAAACUAUUAUAUAAAUAAAAAUAUGAUUAUAUAUUUAUAUAAACAAUACAUUUUCACUAAAAAUAUUUAUUUUGGUUAUAAUUGUUAAAGUAAAAAGUUAAAGGAUCAUUUUUUUGAAAAAAAAAUAUGCCUCUAUUAUAGAGGAAUGAUAUUUCUAAAUAUAGAGGUGAAAAUAGCAAUCUAUAUUUUAGAGGAAAAAAUAAAGUAGGAUUGAACUGAUUUUAUCUUGAAAUGCUAUUAUAAAAACAAAUAUAGAGGUGGGUUGGAAAUACUCUUAUUGCUCUAACUAAAAAAGCGCACAACAAAUCGCACUUGACUCUAGACUGCUUUUAGCCGACAAAGCGAGCGACCGGAAGUCUCCGGCUCGACGACUCGAAUUAGCGGCCCGACACCUCUGCCCAAUCGUCGAGGAGGCCCAUUAGGUCAAGGCGAGUUAGGUUAAUAAGCACGCGUCUAUAAAAAGAGGAGAGGAGACAACAAUCAAAGGAUCAGCAAAUUUCUACAUUACUUACUUUCGGCUAGAAACUAGGGUUUCAUAUCUCUAUUCUGGUCGACUUGUAUUCUCCGGCGAACCAGCUUUCGCCAGUUCACCUCCUUGUUUUCCCCUCCUUGUAAUACGAAUGAGCACUCUCUUGAUCUAAUAAAACACGUCUUUGUCUUAACCCACCGACGAGAACUCGUCCCUAUCUCUUUACUAGCUUAUCGACAGUCUCGGUUCAAACAGUUGGCGCCCACCGUGGGGCAGACAAAGUAGCGCAAGUAAGAAGAUCAUGGCUCGAUCUGACUCGCCGUCCGACGUCGAGUCACCUACAACCGAAGGCGCCCUGACAGCGGCAACCUUCGCAGAUACCAUACUCGAGAGGAUGGCGCAGCAAGACGUCAUUUAGAAUGCGACAAACGAGCAACUAGCCGCUAUCGCCGCAAUCUUAGCUCCCUUGGCCGGGAACUCAGCAGAUCCAGCCACGACGGUUCGGAAACAGCUGUUCGACACCUAUCGAACAGCCGGCGUCGAGACCACGACCAAUACAAACGCCGUCCAGGCCCAAACACCCAGCGGGGUAGAUCUUGUAACAGUCCAGGAACUCGCCGAGCUUAAGCAGUCGUUCCUGGACAUGAAAGAUAGGAUGCUCGAAGGACCCACCUCGGCGCCGUUAAUCGAACGUGCCCUAAAAACCUCGUUCUCUCGGCGAAUCACCGACGUACGGUAUCGACCAGCAGAGAAAAUCCGCCUUCUGACCUUCACCGGAAAGGCAGACCCGACUGACCAUAUCACCGCUUUCAAUAUCGCGAUGGGUCGAACUAACUUUUCCGAUGAGGAAAGAGACGCUGGCUAUUGCCGGCUCUUCGUCGAGAGUCUUCAAGGACCAGCCCUCGGGUGGCUCACUGGAUUGGAACGAGAUUCCAUCAACGAUUUUUACGACCUGUCGGCCGCUUUCCUCAAGCAGUACAUCAUGUUCACGAGACAAGGAGCGACCCUAUCCGACUUGUGGAAUCUAUCUCAGGAAGCAAACCAGAGCCUCCACGACUACAUGGAAAAGCUCAAAGCUGUCGCUUCAAAGGUGCAUGUCCCCGACAGCAUCGCCGUUGAUGCGCUGAUGAACACCCUCUACUCCAAGUCCCUAUUUUGCGAGGAUCUCUACAGAAACCCCACCAAGUCGCUUCAGGAUGCUAUCGCCAGAUCGAACAACUUCAUCCGAAUGGCAGAAGACACAACAGCGAUACUCAAGAAAAUGAAUGCGACCGCUAAACCGACAGCUCCAAAAGCUCCUGAGGCACGCUAAGAGCCUCGACAACACGCCACAGGCAACAAAUCCAACCAGCAGAAAAACUUCGUCUAUGUCGUCGAAGAUAAAAAUCCCCCGGGAUCGACUGUCGUCGUGCGCGAGAAGGAUUGGAACGUCUGGGAGAACGACGAGAAGUCGCAAACCCCAUCGGCACCUUCGACUUUGAAUCCUGGCACGACCGAACCAAACAUAUGGUGCAGCUACCAUAAGUCCAAAGUGCACGAUACGAGAAAUUGCAGGCAUCUAGUUGAUGCCCUCUUCUCAUCCUACGAAAACGGAACAGCAAACGUCGAGCUUCCCAAGCCUAGGCCAAAAAACACCAAGAGCUGGAACAAGAACAAAGAAAAGAGAGCUCAGAAGAAUCAAGACAAGGCCAAAGCCCGACCCAAAUGCGCAGAAGAUGACAAGCUAGAAGAGCAAGACGAAGACGAGGGGGAAGCACAAGUCGAAGAAGAGCAACCUCGUAAUCUUCGACGUGUCCAAGUCAUCCUCGCACGACCGAGUUCCUACUCAGACCAAUUAACCUAAUGUGCCAACAAUUAACCUAAUGUGCCAACAAUACCACAAUCGAAUGGUAUGUCAUUGUAGCAUUUUAGGAUCGAAUCCACAGAGAACUAGAGACUUAUAACACCAAGAAUACACAAACCUUCCUAAUCUAAGCAAACAAGAAGAUAGAUGAUUUGUAACAAACUAAUAUCCUAGAAAUAUAAACAAGUGAAUCCAUGGGCUAAGGGAAUUGACUUCAAGUAACUAAGAUCCAAUCUAGGUGACAAGCUUUCAAUCAAAGUAAUCUCUUAAGUCUAAACACAAUUUUAGACAAGUCCUAUGUCUAGGUAAAUGUCCAUUUGCUUAGAAAUCAUUAAACAUCAAAUGUCUUUGGCUUAAUUCAAUCAAGCAAUCUUUAAGUUCAAGUUUAAUAACUAUCUAGCAAUUUUAACAUCAAGUGUCCUUGGCUAAUCUCACUAGAGCUUAGUUGAGUUGAUUCAAACACUUCAUCUAAUCAUGUCUGAUGAGAAGUGUUUAGAAAUCAGGUUUAGAGUGAUCAAGACUAAACAAGCAUUAAAAAUACUCAACAAGCAAGUUCAUACAAGGAUCUAAUACAAUAACACCAUAGAUCUUCACUAAGUUACUCUAAUCUCCCUAACCCAUGAAUUAUUAAGGAAACUACUCACUAAUCUUCAUGAAAACACUUAAUCUCAUAAUAGAUUGAAGCAUAUUCAAGUAGAUACAACAGAGAAUAAAGAUAAACAAGGAUUAAACAAGCAAAUUCAAGAGAAUAAGAAGAAAAGAAACUAAAGAUUCAAGCUUUCUCUCUCAAGAGUUCUUGUGUUCUUCAUAAAAAAGUAGAUAGAUCCCCCAUUAUUGUCUGAAAAGUAGUUAUAUAUUACUAAAACUCGAGCUGGGGUUGACCCAUAAAAACAGAUAUUUUUCUCCGUAGUGACCAUAAAAGGUCGCUACAAGAGGUCACUACGCCUGUAGCGACCUGAAAUGCCCGCUACGGGUGGCCGCUAGGACACUUAGACGAUUUUUUCGCAUUCUUGAACUCAUAGCGACCUCAUUAUGCCGCUACGGAAGACCGCUACAGAAAGCGCUUCAACUAUAGCGGUCUCUCUAACCCGCUACACACUCCCGCUACGGUACUUAGGCGCCUCAGCUCUAUCUUCUGUAGCGACCAUCUUUUGCCGCUACGCCUGGCCGCUAGGAAUGUCAUAUUGAUAUGUGUGUAGUAUUUUGAUCAUAAAUCCCUCAAUACAGCUCCAAACGACUUGAAACCACCUCCAUUGUAAAGCUAACUCAAUUUCCAGUGUCUCCACAAAUUUUGAGCUUCAGAAGAGAUCUUUAAGGCCUUCAUCCGUGUUCAUCUUUCACUCUUUGGACUCAAAAUCCCUCCAAUGGUCUUCUAACUCAUCCAUGGUGCUCUCCAACACCUGAUAUGUACAAAUGCAAUGAUAUGCAACCUAAAUGUGCCUAAAUGAUACUCUAAAUGACCAAACCAUGCAAGAAUAAGAAGUUAAAAACAUGUAAAUUCACAAGAUAUCACACGACCGAGUUCCUACUCAGACGAGGAGGAGGACAACAAAGUCCAUGACUCACACGAACACUCUAGCAAGCGACCAAGUGAGAACAGCGGACCGGCGGGGUCGUAUGAUUUGAUAAGCAAGCUCAGGCGAAAGUCGCAGACAAUCGACUGCGUGCACAACUCUAAAGACGACCUUUGCUCAAUCAUCGAAGAUUCCAAAGCUAAAAGAGUCGAAAACUCCAGUAUUCGACCCUACCUCAAGCCCCGAGUCGUCGAUCUCCACGAUAAGCUCAACUCGAAAUCCGAAGACCUCAGGAUCAAGCUCAAUCGACCCAAACGUUCCGACUUACGACAAAAGCUGGAAGAAACAAAAGCCAAGACCGGCGACAAACACGAGCCUAUCGUCGAAGACUUGUCCAGCGAUUCGAGGGUCCAAUUGCAGAGCAAACGAGUCGAGCGCGCUCCCUUCUUGAACGUGAUUAUGGGAGGCUCGCCUCCUUGUGGAGACUCGGUCCGGUCGGUCAAAGAUCAUCGAGGACAUGCAGUAACCUCGAAGAAAUGUCCAUCGAAACCUAAGAAUGAUCCCCAGAUCACUUUCUCACCUGGCGAUGCCAUCGGUGUCCACCUACCUCAUAACGACCCUCUACUGGUCGAAGUAGGAAUCGCUAAGUGCGACAUCGCCAAAAUCCUGAUCGAUACUGGCAGUUCAGUCGACCUCAUCUUUCGAGAUACACUCGAUAAGAUGGGAGUCGACUUGCGCGAUAUGAAGCCGUCGUCUCGCUCCCUCACGGGAUUCAACGGAGCUUCCGAGACAAUGAUCGGAACAAUCAAGCUCCCAGUCUACGCAUGCGGGGUAACUCGCACAGUCAAAUUCUCCAUCAUCCAAACAGAGGCUCCAUAUAACGCGAUCCUCGGAACCCCUUGGUUGCAUUCAAUGAAGGCGAUAUCAUCAACCCAUCAUCAAUGCGUGAAGUUCCCGGGACCAAAUGGGCAGGUGCAGACACUACGAGGAGACCAGCAGGCCGCACGCGACCUACUGAUUGCAACGGUGAAGAUGCAAUAAUCGACUCCUCGCAUUAAUGCAAUAUCAAAACAGAUUCAGCCCCAAAAGGACAAGAUUCUAGAAGUCGCAAUUGAUGACUCCGACCAAAGCAAAGUAGUUCGAGUCGGCGCAUUCCUCUCCGAAGAAAUGCAACGCGCGAUCAUAUACUUCUUGAAGCAGAAUGCGUCGACCUUCGCUUGGACAACCUCAGACAUGAAGGGAAUAGAUCCCGCCAUAACGUCCCACGAGUGGAACGGUGAUCCAACCAUCAAGCCCAUUCACUAGAAAAGACGCAAGCUUGGCCCCGACCGAAGCAAGGCCGUCAAUGAAGAAGUAGAACGACUGCUCGCAGCCGGUUCGAUCGCGGAAGUGUGAUACCCGGAAUGGUUAGCCAACCCAGUUGUCGUCAAGAAGAAAAAUGGAAAAUGGCGCUUCUGCGUCGAUUUUACCGAUCUAAACAAGGCAUGCCCCAAAGACAGUUACCCGCUUCCGCAUAUCGAUCGACUGGUCGAGUCGACUGCUGGAAACGAGCUCCUGAAUUUCAUGGAUGCCUUCUCAGGAUACAAUCAGAUCAUGAUGCAUCCGGACGAUCGAGAGAAGACAACAUUCAUCACCGAUAGGGGACCUACUGCUACAAAGUAAUGCCAUUCGGCCUAAAGAACGCCGGCGCGACUUACCAACGACUCGUCAAUCGAAUAUUCGCCGAUAAAUUGGAGAACACGAUGGAGGUCUACAUCGAUGACAUGCUGGUUAAGUCGCUCCGCGCGAUCGACCACCUGAGUCAUCUGAAGGAGUACUUCAAGACGCUGAACGAGUACAGAAUGAAACUCAACCCGGAAAAAUGUACCUUCGGCGUUACUUCAGACGAAUUUUUGGGUUACGUCGUCACCCAAAGAGGAAUCGAAGCAAAUCCUAAACAGAUCACUGCGAUACUCGACCUUCCCAGCCCAAAGAACGGCUGAGAAGUCCAGCGACUUAAUGGGAGAAUCGCAGAGUUAAACCUCUUCAUCUCAAGAUCUACGGACAAAUGCCUCCCCUUUUACAAGCUAUUGCGCGGGAACAAGCGUUUCGUCUGGGACAAAAAAUGCGAAGAAGCAUUCGGACAGCUCAAGCAAUAUCUAACGACUCCUCACGUACUUUCCAAACCAGAAGCCGGUGAUACACUCUCUCUCUAUAUCGCAAUGUCCUCUACCGCGGUCAGCAGCGUCCUCAUCCGAGAAGAUCGAGGCGAGCAGAAACCCAUCUUUUACACAAGCAAGCGAAUGACUGACCCAGAGACUCGAUACCCCACCCUUGAGAAAAUGGCUCUUGCCGUUAUCACGUCAGCAAGAAAACUACGUCCUUACUUCCAAUGGCACACAAUCGAAGUACUGACGAAUCAGCCCUUCCGCACCGUAAUUCAACGGUCCAAUCAGUCCGGACGGCUAUCGAAGUGGGCUAUCGAGCUCAGUGAGCACGACAUCGUGUUGAAAAAUCGAACGGCAGCAAAAUCUCAAGGUCUCGCCAAUUUCCUAAUCGAGCUCGCGCCGGAGCUAGAACAAGACAUGAUCCUUCCAAGUCAAAACUGGAUACUCCAUGUCGACGAAUCGUCAACAAACAAAGGAUCGGGAGCAAGAAUCAAAUUCGCAUUGUCGAUUUCCGUUUAAAUUAGUAAAGUAGGAGAACCACAGUUUCCCAGAGGUCCCGGAUGUCUGCUAAUACCACACGCCAAGCAAUCAGAACACGAGAUAACAACAAUAAAAAUAUAAGAAAUCGUAAAAAGAGCAAAAGGUGUCUUAUUCUGAAUUCGCGUAUGAGCGUUACAACAAGAUAGAAGCCUCGGUAAUGAGAGCUUUCGGCGAGAUCCCUAGUUCUAACAACCUGAGACUGCAAAACCUAGUUGAGUCGCAGCUCUAAAUAACAAAAACGGAAAGUUGCCUAAUUGCUCUAAGUGCUAAGUUUGCUGUAUAAAAGUUCUCCCUUGUGCCUCUCGCCUAGGACUCCUUAUAUACUCGCUCCUAGGUCGGUUUACGCUUUUCCUCUUCUGCCCUUAAGCCGUCAUAGCUUAAAAAUGGAGAUAUUUCAUUUUUCCCGAUCUUCGUAAUUAUCUUCGAAAACUACGUAUUUAUCCGCGGAAACUUGACAUUUAUCUUUCUUUGCGAACCAAGCAUAAACCAUCCUACGAUUUAUGGGCUUUUGGUUAAGAAAUCAUAAGUGGGCUUCGAGUCACGUCUUAGGUCUCUUUGGGCUGUCUUUUGACUCGAAACAUUUAUUACGUCUUCUUUCGAUAAAAAUUAACUUUCCGCGGUUCUUAUCGUAAAGUUCGAUUGAUGACUUCAAAUGGCAAGAAACAUGAAAUGGGCUUGCCACGGUCUUCGGGAGAUAGCAUUAAAGAGUAGACGAGAAUGCAUGGAUUCGUGUCGUAUCGACGUUUUAAGAAAGCACAGUUGCUACGUAGCGACCGAGUCGUAUGCAUGCUCGGUCGCUACGUACCGGCCGAGCUUCGGUGAGAGCUCGGUUGCUACAUAGCGACCGAGCCGUGAACGUGCUUGGUCGCUACGUAGCGACCGAGCGGUGCACCGUGCAGUGUACAUGCUUGGUCGCUGCGUAGCGAUCGUGAUUGGCUUGUCUGUGGUCCGAUUGCCAUACUUGAGCUUGUCCGUGGCUUGUUUGGAUAUGUGUCUGUUGCCUUGGGACAGCCGGUAUUUGAUUCAAUCGAGAUUUGAACAAGUUUUUACUGCGAGAUUCCUUGUAGGGAUUCUUUUUACGAUGAGUAUAUUCGGUAAAAAUGUUCACGCCGAUUCAUUGCGGAGAUUUGGACAUUAACUUUGUCAUAACGGUUUUUGACCCCAACAACCGACGGGAGAGUUAAUCAGAUAGUCGUUCAGUUUCGGCUUUACCACUUCGAACAACGAAGCGGAAUACGAUUCAUUGAUCGCAGGACUACGACUCGCUAAGGCGGUCAAAGCAAAGCAGCUCAAUGCAUUCUGUGACUCGCAACUUGUUACCAGUCAGUUUAGUGGGGACUACGAUGCCCGCAACAAACGAAUGGACGCGUACCUUAAAGUCGUUCAAGCACUCAGUAAGGACUUUGAAUUCUUCGAACUCACCAAAGUCCCCAGAGGUGAGAACGUGUGCGCCGACGCUCUCGUUGCCUUAGGCAGCAGGUUGCGCGAUCAAGUGAAACGAACCAUUCCCACCCACAAGAUCGACAAACCAAGCAUCGAGCUCCCACCUAGCGAAACGACCAUGGUAGCACCCAUAACCAAAGCUGUCGCAAUGGAUGAAGACCCUGCAGCAGAACAAACCGAAGCCGCCGACUGGAGGACCGACUUCAUCAACUAUCUUGUCGAUGGGAAGCUACCUCCCGAGAAAUGGAUUGCGAGACGACUCAAAACACGAAGUGCUCACUACGUCGUCCCAGACAGAGAGCUCCACCGAUGGACCGCGACCAAAGUGCUCUUGAAAUGCAUCCACGGCGAGGAAACUUACCUUGUCAUGGCCUAAACGCACGAAGGCGCUGCAGGAAAUCACUCGGGAGGACUAGCACUCGCCCUAAAAGUCAAAAGCCUUGGCUUUUACUGGCCAACGAUGAACGCAGAUUGCGAAGUCAUUAAACUGGGAGUCCACCGACUCGAGACAUCGACUGGCGAGCCUGUUCCCAGAGCAUGGAACUCCAUGCAUCUCCGAAGAUACUACUCUUGAGAACGUAUCUAACGAUCGAGUAACUGCCAGUUUUACUCGAUCAAACCUCGAAAUCAACAAGUGAAUGACAUUCAUUCACUUUCACUAGCAAAAAAAAAAAAAAAAGAAAAACAAAACAAAUUCCCUCCCAGAGGUACGUAGGCAGCCUUAACCGGUCCAGCUAUAACCAAAAAACAAAACCAAUCCCCUCAACGAGAGGAAGUACGAAUUGUUUUGCGAUUCUUACGCACGAGCAUGACCUGUCUCUCGAACGAACGUACUAGCACUCGCACCCACUAGUGAGCAUAUCCUGAUUAGACACGUGCUCGGGGGACUUUCGGUCGUGUCACGGCUCCAGCCGAUACGAUCGAGACGAUAGCUUUCAACAGUCUUUUAAUCCUAUAAAGUCAGGUUUGGCCGACCAAGUACUCUGGGAUUACUUUAAGAUCGACUGAAAACCACUGUCGCUCGAAAAUCAGAAGAUUUUCUUUGAAGUCAAAAGUUUAAACGCUUCGAUGACUGGAACUGUCGGCGCAACGCGUCAAAACUCGAUAAACCGUCUAAUCAGCCUUCAGGUUUACUUCGAGAUACUAACCAUGUUGCCAGAUCAAAAUCGUUAAAAUCUAAAGUCAGAAACAAAAUUCGACGACUCAUCGAAAAGCUUUUGGUAGUUCCGAGUCCAAGAGUUUCAAGACAAAGCCACAAAAUAAAACCGAAGAGUUUCAAAGCUACAACAACAAAAGCCCCAUAGGGCUAAAAAAACAGAAAGCUUAAGAGGAACAACAACAACACAUAAGAUCAGUCUUCGGCGCGAUCAAGGUCUUCUCCGAUGACUUGAGCUCCAAGCGGAUCGGAGACACCUCCGGUCCCAUCUGCUGUCGAGUCAGUCGGGUUCUCAACUUCAUCGACGUUGCCUUGUUCCUGGGCCGAGGACUCCUCGAGAUCCUCCUCCGCUCCUUGUGGCUUGCUUGCGGGAGCCUAUUCAUUUGACUUAUCCCCACCAUCUUCCUCAGCUGAAGAAACGGAAGGUUCGACCAGAUCCUCAGGAUCUAAUCCUGCCCCAUCCUCCCCCCAGAGGAAGAGCCGGGUCCUCGUCGCUAACUCCAAGUGUCGGAGCCGAUGACUCUUCCCUCACUGUAAGGUUGACUGGGGUGGAGGCCGAAUUCGGAACGGCUGGAGCAGUCGUCGGUCCAGAAGUAUCUUUGGUCCCCUCAACCUUGCUGACAUUGCCUUGUUCUUGAACGGGUAACCCCUCGAGAUCUCUUCCAGUCGGUUCGCUCGAUCUUUCGAUCGCGUGGUCACCCUGAGAACUCGUGGGAGUUUGGAGAAUGGCAACGGUUCCAGCGUCAAUAAUGUUUGCAUUCGACCCGUAUGGGUCAAUCGCCGCCAAAACGUUCUCAUUCAAGAAAGGAGACGGAAGAUGAAGUGGAGAUAAGCAAAGAAGCUCUUCGGGAAUCCCGCCGACAGUUAAGCGAUUAGCCUCCUCCUCGAACUCUUUCUCCUGUUCAGCAAACAAGUCGAUCGUCUCCUCCAGGUUGUCGAUCCCACUUUCCUUAAGCUCUUCGAGGCACUUCUUCGUCCUGAAAGCUUGGUUCUGCAAGGAUCUCGCCGUUUCGAAGUCGCUGCGACGCGUUUCGAGGUCUCGAAUCUCGGUAAAACGCUUAUUGCAUUUUACGAUCAUGGCCGAUUGAACGCGAACUCGCUCAUGCGUAACCUCGUAACUCCGAGAGUCCCUCAGCCGGUUGAUUUCCUUCAGGUGCCUUAAGGACGUAGCAACCUUCUCUCUCUCCCAGGCAGCUUUCUCUUCCUCCAGGGCAGCUUUCUCGCGCGCGAGUCCUCGAAUCUUCUCGCCGGCAGCCUUGAACUUCCCCUUUAGGUCCCUGAACUUAUCAACAAACUUCUCCUUCUGAGCCUUCUUCUCUUCGAGCAACCGACUUUUCUCCGCUGCAGCCUUGUCAAUCAUCGCUUUGAACUCACUCGUUUUGCGAUUGAGAGCUGCGUCCUUCGCUCGCACGAGUUUGUCGGCUUGCUUCAGCUUGGAGAUGGUCUCUUUAAGGGCCGUGUCAUACAUGGCGACGAUGUAAUUCAUACUCCCAUCACUCUGCGCAAACAAAGGAAAGGGUCAGAACUAGAAGUAUAGAGAAGACGAGACGAAGAAAGCAAUCCUUACAAGAACCUUAGUCUUCGCUGCAUCGACAUAUGGAUCUUUGAAGAUGAGGUCCUUAACCGGCGGCAUAUCCUUAGCGCCACCUCGAAUCUGUCGAACCAGUUCAGCACAUUCUGACGGAGCAUAAGCGAGUGGAGUGUAGCCGUCAUACUUGAAUUCCACGCGAUCGGGGAAUUUGACUCGACGUUCCUCUAAGGCCGAACCACUAUCCCUGGUCACCAAAGGAGUCCUCGCGGCGGAAACUGGUGCGUCUUGCUCACGGGAAGGUCUUUUCCUCCUUUCCAACGGAACGUUCGGAGAAUCGUUCAACUCAACAUCAGCCUGAGCCGCACCCUCACGAGAAGAGCCGUCAUGACCCUCCACAUCCCCGAUAGGUUCCGACUGCUCCUCAACAGACUUCUUCCUCUUUUUCUUCUCUUUCUUCUUCUUCUUCCUCGGAGGUUCAUCAGAUUCGGUCCUCGUGCGAGCCUCGAUUGAAGCAGAUGAACCCGGAGCAGGCCUUUUCUUCUUAUUAUCGUCAGUCACCGACGGUUUAGCGGUCUCUCAAUCGGAAGACUGCACAAGUUUUUCCCUCGAGGAUUCGAUAUUUACCGGGCCUACAGACGACUCCGGCGGAACUACGAGAGACGGAGGCCCGAAAGGAGUCGUCUCACCAGGAGUCGCAUAAGGCGUCCUUUUCGCUCUGCUCAACUUCUUCUUGAUUAGCGCGCUCAAGUCUGGAAAUUCUUUCAUUUCCCUAGCUGCGUUGAUCACCUUCUGCUCGGCGCGAGUGAAUAUUGAGAACCGCCGCUUGUUGCCGGUAAUCAAAAGUGGUAAAUCAGAUCUCCAGUCCCCUACGAAAGACCGACGAGUCAAAUCCAGACAAGUGUCUCGAGCGAACAGAUGCAGUCAAAGAAAAAUGUAUAAUCGCGUUAAGGAAACCUACUCUUUGAGAUCCUGUCAACGGCUCGUCGGAUCCUCUCGACAGUGAUACCCUUCCAACUUACUUGAGCAAGCGACGCGAUGGCACGAGCGUUAGCUAUGAACUCUUCGGGAUAGGAGGCUGUGUCUGGGUGAUCAACUGCAAUCAAACGAAGACUCGGCAGAAAAGGAAAGAAAGAGGCUAUCGAUAAACUAUCAGCAACACUCUACCAAGUCCAUCAUUCCAUAAAAAUCGAAAGGAAUCGCCGGGCGGCUCUUCGAAGGCAAAACCAUCAGAUGUAACGUAAAAGUAGAAGCGAUGCCAGUUAUUCGUCCUGCUGGGAUGAUCAACGAUCACGUUGUAAUUAGGCCUCAUCUGGAUCGAGUACAAUCCAUCCCCCAUCGACUUAAGGUAUGUCAGCUCUUCCAAGUCCGCACGCUCAUCGACACAUCGAUCUCCGCCGCCGCCACCAUCAAUGCUACCGAGAUACGGAACGCACCGUUUAAAAACUAGCCUAUCGCCGCGUCGCGACGCCUCGCAUAGGAUGCGACGAGUUGAGGAAUCGGAAACCAGAGCUUAGUCUCGUUCUGAAAGUAAGACUCGUAUACACACUGAAAUCCCACCGGAGGAGACCAUGGCCUCUGGUCUUUCGUAUGGAUCAGAAAAGUCACUCCGGCUCCUCCGCACGCUCUCAGCAGACUUUUCACGCUGCUAGAAGUCGAACGAGUCUCCUUAACGUUCUCCCAUGUUUGACCCUCAGCGAUAGGAGAAUGUAUCAGCUCUGGCGCCAAUGCCGGGAGGUCCUCGAAAAUCCCCCGGGAUGAUAACAACACGGAACGAAGUCAGGGGGAGAAGUUUCUCCUUCACUCGCUCCACCUUGACCGUCUCUCACGACUGACGCAGCAGUCUCUCUCUCUUCGCGAAGUUGGCGCGCUGACUCAGCAACAAGGACUCGCUGAGGCGUAUUCAUAUUUGUUGUGUCCAUCAUGGCUUCGCGAUGAAUUUACUCGAUAUCAGAAGGAGAGUUCGACUCGACGACUCGUGCAGGACUCGAUUCGGUCGCUUUCGCCACCGCCUUCGAUUCGGUCGCUUUCGCCACGACAUUUUCAAAAUCUAAGACUAAGAAGCUAGAGUGAGAAGCAGAAGAGGAAGAGAGAGAAAAUACCUGAGUCGGAUGAAGAAUGAAGAAAAUGAGAGGUGAGAGGGGUAUUUAUGAGGGGAGGAGCGCAUCGCACCCCGAGGCGUCAUUAUUAGACCUAGAUGGGCCCAUAUAGGCCCAUCUAGGCGCGUGAAGUUCACCACGUCUCGCGACGUUUCGACUUCUUGAGGUAAACCAAGACCGGUUAAGAUCGAGACCAGUGGUCAUGAUUAAGACCGAAGAAAACCGCCGGUUCAGAUCAAACCGGCGAGAUAACAAAUUGCGAGCAAGAAAGCCGCCCACUUAGUCGAGGAGUCGAGUGAGAUCACGAGUCUAGAACAAUUGUCUUGCAAACCCUACUUCCAAAUUCGUGGACUCGGCUACGCUACUCACCAGCGAACUGGGGGGACUUACUGUUGGGCAUGGGUCUGACCCUCCCAAAAGGCCCACAAGACAAUUGUCCAAACACAUGAUCACAACAAAGAGACUCGGCUCGUUGACUCGCGAGCCGAGUGACCGGCUCGACUCUAGACUGCUCUUAGCCGACAAAGCAAGCGACCGGAAGUCGCCGGCUCGACGACUCGAAUUAGCGGCCCGACACCUGGUCUGGUGCAAGUGCAGGACUCGACUCGAAUAAACAACAGAAUUGUCCAGCUUGUGGUCAGCUUUCGCCGGCUCGACGACUCGAAUUAGCGGCCCGACACUAGGUUGCAGGAGAUUCAGAGGAGGAACCUUCUCUUGAUGACAUGACAACAAAUUUGCAAGCUUCUUCUUCUGGUCUGGUGCAAGUGCAGGACUCGAUAGGAAUAUAUCCAAUGACCGAAUGACUCCUUUUCGCUCGAUAGCUCUGAAUGCUGAUGCCACACCUCUCGCAAACAUAUCUCUAUGGGUUAUUUCAUGAGUGUCCACAAGAUGAAGUAGUCAAGUAAAGAGUGAGUGAUGUGUGGAUAUUGCGGUAUUGACCAUACCAUCAAGAGCAGCAGGUUUGACAUUCAUUAUUAUAUUACAAAUUGUUUCGUCGAAGAAGAGCCAGUCGUAAAACAGAGCCAGCUUAACACUUCCUUGGUUUUGUCUAGACAGUUCCAAAAACCAACCUAUCACAGCCCACCUUGGCAUAAUCUCUGACCUGAUAAUUUCGUUAGUCGGGUGAAUAACACAGCAGAUGAACCGGACUUUGUCGGUCAAAAGCACUUGUUUUCCAUUACCCACGAGGAAGUUGUUCAAGAACCAAAUCUGAUGCCUCUUAUGGCUUCCUAGUUUCACAUUCCCAAGCAAAAACCUUAACUGGGUUUCCAUCUCAGGACUGAUUCGUAGAAAGAAAUAUAUAUCUAGUUGAAGUCUUGGACAUGUAAUAAAUACUUGAGACCAAAUUGUUCCUAUCUCUCUGAACUCAGAGACAUGAGCCAAGUCCUGCAACAACCGGACAAGAUCUCUUCCAAUCUUCAAACUCAAAUCCAUCUCCUCUCUAAACAUCUUGACACAGAACUUCAUCUCUAGCCUCUUCACAUUGUCGCCUGAAACUUUACAAUGAUCCUCCGCUAAUAAACGUAGAAAGCUAUACAGAGCACUAGUCAAAAACCAAAGGAAAAUCUUCAAGCAAGCAAUCCCACUUGUCAAGAAACAAGCUCACCAGUUCAGAACAAAGCCAGACAUUCUGAUCACCACUUCCAAUUCGUCGAAGCAAAUCCUCAAGACCCACACUCGAAACAGAGAUCAUCUCCUUCGUCAACCACAUCAACUGGAUCUUAGCGGAAUCAACGAGCUUACCGUACAGUUCAACAACGAUACCAACAAGCAAACUAGUGAAAAACCCAUAGCCAUCAGUGACGAGAGCAUGUAAAUGCUUCAUGUGAGUUGUCGAGGAACUGGAAUCGCAUAAGACGCCGUAGACGAUGGCUCUUGUGGGUCUGGGAUUUCUAGUGAAAACGGUGGACGUAGUUUCGGUUUGAGAGACUCAUUGGCUUGGCGGAGUGAGAGUUCGAGCUGGCUCUCGACUUCGUGCAGGGCAACGCGAAUCAGUUUCGACGCGGCCAAGAGGUUUUCGUUUUCCAUUAUCCCAUUCCAGAGAGAAGAAGUAAGCCUGAUUUGCGGGUUAGCUUCUUUUUUUUUUUUUCUAACUAGUCCGAUGAUUCAUACUCCGUGGGAUAUGAAGCAUGUUCACGUUCUUAAAAUUAUCCAGUAGACUUUGAAAUGCUCUGAUGCAAAGGUCGCCAAAUCCAUCAGUCUAAGUUGACCAUCUCAAAACGGAUCGAGCAAAUGGUCUCUCAUACAUGAAGUUGCCCAAAUUAAUCUUUCCAUCUCCGGGUUUAAGGCCAAGAGGCUUCUGUAGCACGAGACUUAGUCCGAAUGAUUUAAUAUUCAUUUGAUCCUUAAGACUCCACCCUAGACCACUAAUAUUGCCAUUAUCGAUAUAUGAAGCAUCGAUUCGACAAGUUGAGAUUCAAGGUAUACAAUGGGGUACUGUCUUAACAAUUGUGGUAUAGAAGUAGAUCAAGUCAAAAUCGAGAUAAUGACUAGUUUACCAUCACCCACCACCGUGAAAGAUGUAAGUAGUUUUCUCAGACACGUUGGGUUUUACAGGAGAUUCAUAAAAGAUUUUAACAGAAUAGCUAGACCCUUCACAGCCCUCAUGUGCAAAGAAGUUAAAUUCGACUUCACGCUAUAAUGUUUAAAAGCUUUUGAAGAAGACAGCUUUAGUAACUGUCCCCAUCGUGCAAGCUCCAGAAUGGAGUUUGCCUUUCGAGAUAAUGUGUGAUGCGAGCGAUUGCGCUAUAGACGCAGUUCUUGCCAGAAAAAGGAUAAGAAGCUACAUGCUCUAUUACGCUAGUAAGACUCUCGACCAUGCGCAAAGAAAUUAUGCGAUAACAGAAAAAGAAUUACUAGCCGUAGUUUUUAAGUUUUGCUCCUACCUAGUCGGUUCGAAAGUAGUUGUCCACACAGACUAUGUUGCAUUGAAAUACUUAAUGCAAAAGAAAGACGCAAAACCGUGACUUCUGAGAUGUGGGUUUUAGAAAAACCCAUUAUUUAAAAAUCCAAUAAAAUCUAAAUAGUUAAAACCCGAAACCCGGCUACUAGUUGAACCAAUGAUUGACCCAAUAGGUAACUUUUACCUUUUUGUAGAUUUUUAAUUACGUUAUUAGAAUCUAAUUUGUAUUCUAAAUAGGAAGUUAGGUUUUUAGUUUUCUUUAAUAUCGUCUUCCUUUGUUGUCAACUUUGUAUGUUCUUUGACUCUUUUUAUGUUUUUGAUUUUUUGUUUAUUGUAAAUCUUACUUAAGACACGCUCUUUAUAGUUUUGAUUUUUAUUUUCCUUUUUAGAUUUUGAUGAAAUUUCAGUAUGCUACUUAUAGAAAAUGAAGUGAUUGAUGUUAGAGAUAACAAAAAUUAGUUGAUGAGAUUUGAUAUUAGUGUGUAUUUUUGUUAUCGAUAAUCUAUUACUAUUUGAUUUUUAUUUUUAUUUUAUUUUGGAUUUAAAUUUAAAUUUUAUUAUUCACAUUAGACAUUUUAAUACUUAUGAAUUUUAAGUCUUGAUUUUUUUAUUAUAUGUCAUAACUCCUAAUUUGUUACCAAAAAAAUGUUAAAUAGUCUAAAUAUUUUUUUGAUAUUUUGUUUGUAUUUUUAGCAUUUUGAUUUUCUAUAUAUAUUUUUUAAAAUAAAAUAUUUUUUAUAUUUUUCAAUAGCUAAUAUAUUAUUAUAUAACAAAAUUAGUUUAUUUAUUAACGUAUGGUUCGUCCGGUUGACCCAAUAACCCGGGAAGUUAUCCGGGUUGGGUUUAAAAACCUUAAUUUCCCCAUUCAAGUUUUCCAUUUGCAGACACACCUCCCAAGCUACAUUAUCUUCAAAUAUUUAUGGUAUGAGCUGAAAGUACCCUUGUUCUAAAGUCCAAAUCGGAAGUCACGUCUUUGUUGCAAGCAAUCGAAGAAAAGCCAGGCUAUAUAAACGCACUGGACCAAAGUCUCUUUAAUCUAAAAGUUCUUUUUAUUUUCACUUCAGUUAAUAAACUCAAUAUUCAGAAAAUAGAAAAGAAACGAGGUGUUCACAGCUUGCAGUACUUGUUGAACCAUACAGCAAUGUUGAGAAAGCUUUCAUAAUCCGUCUGCGGUCUGCAUAAUAAAACAAUCACAAGAUGAUUUAGCUAUGAACAAACGUUCUCAUAGAGAUGCUACAGCUAUAAACAAUAUAAAAGAUGACAGCAUUUGUUUGUUUGUGUUGGUCUACCUGUCUAGGGGAUGAUUGUCAUUGGGAAAGACUAACACUUUAACCUCAAUUCCUUUCUCCUUUAAGGCUCUCACGUACUAUACAAAUCAAGAAUACAUGAACAAACAAUAUUACCAAUAAUGUUUUGGAUCUGCAAAGUUGAACGAGUUGCAGAUUGAUCUUACUUGAAUUCCGUUUGAAAUGGGAACACGGAGAUCCAUAGUUCCCAAGAGAAACAAAGUGGGUGUUUUCACCUGCACAAGAAGGAUCAUUAAAUGAAUGUCUUCAAACUUAUCGAAGAAGAACGGAAGUGGUGUGGUUUUGACCUUUGAGAUGUGUGAUAUAGGAGACAUUUGAUGAAACCGAGACAUAUCUUCAGGUGAUGGGGCUUCUGUAUAGCGAGUCCGGUCACCAUAGGCUUCAAAGAAACACCAAUCAGGUAUAUCCGUAAUCCCAACCAUUGAUGCAAGGUUGCAUACAGGAUUUCUUGCAGCUGCUGCCACAAAUUUAUUCGGGGCCUAUUGCAAAACUUUGGUAUAAGAAUUUGGAUGAUUUCUAUUCCGGUGCCAUAACUUACAAAGGUGAGUGAACUACAUUACCUGGCCAAUCAAGUGUGUAGUGAGAAACCCACCAUGAGAGCCACCUAGUACGGUUAUUCUAGACGGGUCUGCAAGUCCCAUUUCAACAGCGUGGUCUACAGCCGAGAGCACAUCAUUCACGUCUUGUGAUCCAACUUUUCCAGGUAGAGACUGCAAAGCAUCUUCCCCAAACCCCAACGAACCCCUUUCAACCCAAAUGAAUCACCAAAAAAACAAGUUAGGAUCUCCAGAAGGUUGUUGAUUAACUAAUGGAGAUGGAGCUGUCUGUGAACCUGUAAUUUACAAUCAGCAGACUGUAUCCAAUUGAGGAGAGAUAUGCCAAAGUCUUGGAGAAGCUGCAAGGUGCGAUCGAAUGAGGGCCUCCAUGGACAAUAACAGCUAAAGGAUCACAUAUCCCAUUCUCCUUGGACUUUGAAGACGAUACAUAUAUAGCUUCAAUUGGUUUUUUGGCCCCUUGAUCAUAUGGAAAUUAAUUAGUCAGAAAGUUUAUCAACCAAAAACGAAAACAACAAAUAAGAUUGAGAGUUAAAAGUACCUUUGGUAAGACAUUCAGAAACAUUACUGAUUGGAACUUUGAGAAUUUUAAACUCCAGAGAUGAAAGCCCAGACGUGACCUGAAGCGGUGUAAACAGAAAAAGAUUAGUACAGAAAAAAGAUUAACAUCAUUCGAAUCUAGAGGAUUUGGCUAAUCUGAUUUAACCUUCUCAGAGCUUUUAAAUAUUGGGUUUUGGAUAUCUAACCACUGCCAUGAAGGCCUCCCGGCUGGAUCAACAACUUUCUUUCCAUAUUUAAUUUCAGGAACACUCACUGGACUGCUACACACUACUCAGGAAAAAAAGGAAGAAAAGAAAACUUACAGUUGUUCCAAACCUGGUGUGUGUUUUAAGUUUAAGGUGACAUUGUCACAGUUAGUAACUGAGAUUAAGAGUUAAAGAUGUUACCGGCAACAAUAUCAUCACCAUCUAGCGCAAGAACGCUCCAUGAACAAUCUGAAUCAUUAGGGCUGGCACGUGACAGUUCACCACUGUAGUAAUUUUUCUAUCAUCAGUUAGCGUAGCAGCAAAAGAAGAUAACUUGGAAACUUAUCAUAUCUAUUCAUCAGUCACCUUAGCAUAUUUAGGCUGAGUAUUACUCUACAACUGUGCCAGUAGGAAGACAACAUAAGAGUAUGUCCAUCUGACAGCCACGGAUCACUCAGCAGGCCAGUAACAUAGAGUCCAGGGAAACAACCAUCAUCAGGACAAUUCACAACUGGAAUCUGCAUUACAAGAUGUAUUUGAAUAUAUCAAAUAACAGUUAGUGAUUUUUUUAGUUUAAUUGCCACUAUAAAGACAGAUUUAUUGGUGUAGAGAGAGUAGUUAUAAGUUGUUAAGAAACAAAAAGUGUCCAGCUCAUAGAAAGUUUGAAGCUUCUAUAGGGAGAAAAAGGUACGUAUAAUCUCACCAGAUCAACAAUAUCAGUUGACUCAGAAAGUUUCCCAUCACUUGGCCAGUUAAUCUUAUGAAGUGACUCGGUUCCCCAAUGCGCCCCGGAAUCAACAGCGGUCUUUGCGGAUAAAAACAGAAGAAACUUGCCAUCUUUGCUGUGAGAGAAGGAAAAAGAUGAGAGUAAGUUCUUAACUGGUCAUAACUAAAACGAACAUUGCACGUUAACACUGCUACAAGUAAGGACAAUGUUUAGCAUAUGCUGUGUAAGAUGGCUCAGUUGUAAACAGAGUAGCAAGGAGAACAAAUGCUUUUGGUAAAUAAAUAAUUCAAAAAUUUCAUAACAUGUAAACCUGAACAGUGGGGAAAAACCGCUGCUUAUGCUCUUGGUCAAAUUAUGAAUAGGGAAUGCUUCCUUUGCAUCAUCUCUGGAACACAGGUAAACGCAAACUCUGUAAGAUUUAUCGGAACUAUCAACUUGUCUUCUAGUGAGUUAUAGUAACCACAAACUCACUUUGGCUCAUCCGAUCCAGACGAAGCAUCUCUAAACUUUAUUGCGUAUAUGGAACAUGGUCUGUUGUAGCAGUACUUAAUACCAAACUUUCUUUUAUCUCCUAACCAUCCGGCAAAAACUAAAUACUUAGCUGAGCCUUUACUGCUUGGACUCCAAACAACCUGUCCAACACUUAUCGAUCUUGGAACUCCUUUGAUAUGCUCGACCUCUCCACUGCUAGAGAGACAAGAAUUAGAAAAUGUAAAGAGUAAUUAAUUAUUCUUGUUAUUAUUUUUAUUUAUUUUUAUGAAACCUGUCAACAUUGAUAACAAACAGGGCAGGCUGCCUUUUUCCGGCAUAAGCUUCUCCCCAUUCCUCUUCCCAAUCUCCUUGACCUUUCCAGCUUCCAAUAGCCUUGUCCAAACCAACAUUGUCUUUCGUGUAAUAGCCUAGAUGGUCAAAUGUAGGUUUGGGAAGAGAUGGUUCCUCAGCAACAUAAGCAACACAAGUCUCAUCUGAGUUCCAAGAGAUUCCUUCAAACCUGCAUCACACAAGCCUCACUCAAUUUUUCUUUCUACUUCUCCAAGGCAUUGAAUUUGAAAUAAGCCAAAAAGAAAAGUAGAGUACCAUCCAUCAACGUAUACAGAGCCAUGAACUUUCUGUGGAAUAUGAAACUCCUUCUCUAGCUGAGAUGAACUCCAUAUCUCAAACUUUGUAGGAGAUUCUUUAUCAUCAGGAUUCCGGACUACAAGGAGCUUCAGACCCGAUGGAGAGGGGGCAAAAGCAGAUGCGCCGGUCAUCUCUACAGGAAAUGGCGCCCAGUGAAAGUUUACAGACAGGUUACUACUCUCUUUUGAGAUAUGUCCCGAUAACAUAAACUUCCUCCUCUUAUUAGCCAAAAGGUUUGCUUGACUCAUGGCAACCAUAGCCUGAGGACCUGCAGUAUAGAAGUGAAAAAGAUUUAUUCCAAAGAAGUUUGAUAUGUGAAAGGUGGUCCAUUCAUUACCAGAACCAGAGUUGAAGAUCCAAGCUUUGUCAAUGCUGGGAAUAGUAAUAAACUCUUUGAUUAACUUGGACUGUGUUGCAUACUCUUCCUCGCUAGUUUGGUCUAAGUCCUUAACCGUGUCAGUUCCAUAAGAAUCCAUGGUUAACUGAUCUUGUAAUCCAACCUUUUGCAACUGAAACAUAUAAAAAUCUCUAAUGAUUGCAAAACAGUUCCAGUAAUCAAUCAUAUUCAUCAUCCAUAGUUUUAAAACCGACCAACAUACAAUCAGACAUCAUUUGGAUCAAUUGUCGAUUGAACAGAAGAACAUACAGAAACCGAUCAAUGAAUGAAACUUUACAAUUGAAAACCAUCAAAUAGAAGAAACCUAUCGUGAUAACACAGAACCAAAAGACACAGAUCGAGAGACAAACAGCGCAGAGAAAAAGGGCUUACGAAGAUUGAAAGAGUGAUGAUGAUGCUUGGGAGAUGAAGAUGAGAGGAACGGAAGUCAAAUUCCAAAUGAUUGAGAAAGUGAGUGGGUGGGUGAGUAAAGAUUUUCGACGUCUAAAAUAAACAAAAUAUAAUAAAUUAUGUUGUGAACUUUCGAUGUUGCAUUAAUACUUUGAUUACUUUCAUUAUUUUCAAACUUUUUUUAGUGGUAAUUUAUAGAGAAAUUAGUGUUCCUUACCGAAGAAUUUUACCCUAUUUUAACAAUCUACCAAAAUUUCACUAUUUUUUCACCGUACACAAUCAUAUAUGACCAUGUUACCCCUAUAUUACAACAAGCCAUUAUUGAUUUGAAGUGUUGUCAAAAUCUUGAAGUUAGAUACGCGAAUAUUGUGUUUUCUAUCGUAAUAUCUUCAAAAUUUAAAUCUUCAUCUAUAUUUUUCUCUCAUCUCUCCUAUCCUCUCUAUUUUCUAUCCUUGUACUUUGAAAUUGCAGUCGGCUCAUCCAAAAAUAGAGAACAACAACAAUACACAACCACCAUCCUACCUCAUCCUAAAAAUUGUGAUAUUUCUUUUUUUUUGGACAGGAAAACAAAAAGAAUACACAACCACCGUCAUGCCUCGUCCUAAAGAGUAAGUUUCUCAUUCAGAUUUUUUUUCAGUUAUUGGGUUUGGUAUUUUUUUGGGAUUGAUCUUGGAGAUACCCCGUCCCCCCCCCCCUCCAAGUCUCUAUCUUUGGAGUUAAUUGGGAGUGUGGCUUUUCUUCAUAUGCUUUGUUCCUUAUUUGUCUUCAAUUGAUGUACCGGCACCGGAAAAUACAUUUGAUAGCUUCUAGACUGCUGGUGAUAGCCGCCAAGAGUAUAAAGCCCAGGAUUUUGAAGCCAUGCGGCAUCAGACAAAUUCUCAACGCCCUCGACACCGGUGGAAUUGGUCAUAUUCUCAGUUGUUAUUAAACUCACUAUGAAGAUUAAUCUUGAUCAAUACAACAGCAAUGGAGUGGGUUCUCUAGUUGCAAUUAAAAGCAAUACUUAUUGUUUAUGCAGUGUUUGGAUAAUUAAAUUAUUACCAGUUUACAAAACUGUUAACCGUAAACUUUAUUCAAUGGAUAGUUAGAGAAAUUAUUGUACCAAAACAGUGAAUUCUGAAUAAUUGAAAGUUAUGUUUUCCAUUACCGUUGACAAGCUAUCAAACAAGUUACAUGUCCAACUACCCAAUUAACAAGCUAUCGAACAAGUUACAGGGCCAACUACAAAAUUAACAUGCAAUUUUAUAUCAUAGACUGUAGGGAAUUCAUGGGUUCAAUUUAUGGUUAAAACUAUGAAGUGUAGGGGUAUGAUAACUUAUAGCUUAUCUUAUUAUUAACCUGUUCAUUAAUUUUCUUAGCAUCCAAAAAAUGUUGUAACUAUCCACAUGGAAAAUUGUACAUCUGAUACUGGACUUAUAUUUCUUCUCCAUUACCAGGUCUCAGGCUUAAUGAAAUUGUCUAUGCAGUUUUGCUUAUCGUUUUAUAGUGUUAAGGGUUUAUGAUCAGUGACUUAGUAUCCAAUGUGUUGUUGUUGGGUUUAAUGUUUAUUAUUUUAGGUUUAGGGUUUGGCCAUGUAUGUAAUGCAACCCAGGUCACCAAUAAAUAUACAUAGGUAAAUUGUCAAAACUAUUGUCCAACUAAUAUAUAUUGUAGCUGAGAUAACAAAAUUGUUAUCUGGCCACUAUUAUAUUUACACAUCUAACUAACUAUUUAAAACUAACGAAAGAGAUUAUCUUCUUGUCUUUGUCGUUAAUUCCACCCCUCCCCAUUGUUUCUCAUUCCUAGGUUUUGAUUGAUAGCUCUAGCUUGGUGAUUUGAUAUUUGUAUGGUUUCAAUUCAUUAUUAUGUUUGUUGGGACAAGAUUAUGAUGGUGAAACAUAUUUUCUUCGGGUUUGUGUAUUCAUUAGGAAGAUGAAGAAAAUUUUGAUGAAGAUUAUUGAGAUAAGAAAAGAAGAAGACGACAAUAGAAAGAGAAAGGAAAAUAAUUGUUUUCGAAAAAGAUUUGUUUACUUUUGUUUUGUUGUAUGUUUAAAAUAAAUAAAAAAAAUCUUUAAAAGAUUAUCAAAUCUAGUAGAAUCUUAAACAAAUCCUAAAAGAUCUCUAUUGUCAGACACUAAGCCUAGCAUCCUAAUACUCUGAAGUCAGGUCACCAUGGAUCAAGGUUAUUUUCGUCUUUCUUAUUCGUUUCAGUGUGGUACGUUUGCGUAACUUUUCCCUCUUUGGUACUUAGCUAAUUUCCUCUUCUUCUUAUGUUUUUGACCUAAUUUGCUCUAAUUUAUAAGCCCUCAGAUUGUAAACACUACAAAUAAGCAUAUCUUUGAAUCCUCAAAGCACUUUUAUUAUUGUGACGGAGAUGAGAAGAAAUAAAUUAACAUAUUGAUAAACAUUAAAGAAAAGACAUAGAAAUUUAAUGUGGUUAUGGGACUACACGGGAACAAAGAAAGUACUUUAUUGAUGGAAGCGAGUAUUUCAGAGUACACUUGCUACAGAAUAUGGUAAAACCUUAAAAAUAUAUACUUCUUCCGUUCCAUAAUAUAAGAUCUUUUAUAUGAAUGCACAAGAAUUAAGAAACCUACUUUUAAAAAAGACAAUACCAUUAAUAAUACUAGGUAAGGAACUCGUGCAAUAUCGCACGAAAUUCAGUUUGUAAAAAAAGAAUAUGCCACAUUUUAUAUAAUUAUUUUGAAGAAAUACAUGUGUUAUAAAAAAUCUUACAUGCAGUUAUAUUUUUUAUUAGUUAGUUAUAAUAAAAUUAAAAAUAUGCCAAUACCAAUUAGUAAAGGCACACACAUUAAAGUAUCUAUGCAUUUUUACGUUAUUAUAGUGAACUAAUUUUAUUAAAAACAUAUGCCACUUUGUACAAUCUAUACUUUUAUAGAAAGCAUCUUAUUUUGCUAUGAAAGUAUAAUAAAAUAAGGAGAAAAUACAGAUCUUUAAUUUUUUCAUGAAUUUUAAAAAUGUAUAAUAUAAGUAAAAUGAGAAAUAACCACAAACCAUUUCAAUAAAAAAAUAUUCUAAAUGAAAAAGAUAUAUAAUUGCAUAUAUCAUAUAUUAAUUUACUGAAAAUAUUUGUGGAAUACUUUAUUAGUGACAAUAUUUAUUUCUUUCACUGAUUGUUAUAUCAACCGAAUUAGAACCAAAGUUAAAUGAAUUAGUUUUAUAGUAAAAAUAAAUUCUCGACAAACAAAAAUUUCACUCAAAAAUGAAAUAAGAACAUUGUCUUCAGCCUCAUUGUCGAGGAGCUGAAGGUAAAGAAAGCAACACAUGUUAUUCAAAGCUAUAUAUGAGACAGAGCAUUCAAGAGACUAUAAAUUUUCACUUAAAGCAACGAUGUUAAUCGCAGAAAAAUAAUGUUACAAUUUAAAUAGUUAAAUUUUAGUUAGCAAUAAUCAGCCGGAUUAGAAUGGUUAAUCAUCAAAUAUUAUAAUUGAGCAUCUAAAAUUUGUAAAUAUUUAUAUAAACAAUUACAAAAUUACAUUUAAAAGUAACAACACAAAUAUAUUUACGAACACAUCUUUUUGGUAGUCUUAUCUUGUAGAGGGACAAAUGGCAAGAUAAUUAAAUCCAUCUUCUAAACACUCAAAUCCCAAAAGCAGAUAUAUGCAUUAAAUACAUAAGUACAACAAGCCUUCAUUUUCUUUUUGCUCUGGUUCUUGAGAUUCUGUCACGUUCAUUCUCUUUCAUGUUGUUGUUAUAAUGAUGAUAUAGUUGCACAGCAAGUAGGUUGGCGUCACAAUUUAUUUAUUUAUUUGAAACCUUGUAAAUAUCUGUAUUGCAACGCAAUGAUUGUGAAACCUUGUAAAAACUGAAUUAUCAUCGAAACUUGGCUCACUUUCCACAUGUUCUUCAAGUACAAGCUUCCCCACUUAAACUCAUGCACAGACAAGUGUUGCACUUCAGAAUUAUUUUACUGAAUAAGAAGAAUAUAUACUUAUUUAUUCACAAUUAUCAUAUCAGUUUUCCAAAAUGUCACGAACCAAUCACUGAUAAAACAAUGAAAAUCAGAGUAAACUGCAAUACAAAAACUGGGAGAAAAUACCUAAAUCAGAAAGGAAAGAGAGAAAAAGAAAGUUAAGGGUCGUCGGCCAAUAAUAAGACGCAAUUCACUCAAUCUCCUUCCACACACUGCUAACCAUUCAAAUAGAGAUCUGAUCACAAAGACAUUCAAAUAGCAACAAGCCCUGAAAAUAAAAACGGCAGAAACAAAUACGUAUACUUAAAAAGGAGGACGAUUAACAAAAUUAAAGAGGCAUAAAUUAAUCAGACAUACGACAAGCAGUGUUGAAACCUCUUCAAAGUAGGGAUAUAUUAAAACAAAAAAAUGGUUUACAAACAAUUAUGUUGAAAUUUGUUCUGAGAUUCUGGGUGGAAAGAUGAACACUUCUAUGAAUUGAAUGUCCGCAAACAAAAUUUCCGGAAUUGGAUGUUUUAUAAGCCCUCAGAUUGUAAACACUACAAAUAAGCAUAUCUUUGAAUCGUCAAAGCACUUUGAUUAUUGCGACGGAUAUGAGAAGAAAUAAAUUAACAUAUUGAUAAACAUUAAAGAAAAGACAUAGAAAUUUAAUGCUGUUCUGGGACUACACGUAACAAAAAAAGUACUUUAUUGAUAGAAGCUAGUAUUUCAGAGUACACUUGCUGCAGAAUAUGGUAAAACCUUAAAAAUAUAUAUUCCAUCCAUUCCAUAAUAUAAGAUCUUUUACAUGAAUGCACAAGAAUUAAGAAACUUACUUUUUUAAAAGAUAAUAUCAUUAAUAAUACUAGGUAAGGAACUCGUGCAAUAUCGCACGGAAUUCAUUUUGUAAAAAAAGAAUAUGCCACAUUUUAUAUAAUUGUUUUGAAGAAAUAUAUGUGUUACAAAAAUCUUACAUGCAGUUAUAUUUUUUUUUAGUUAGUUGUAAUAAAAUUAAAAAUAUGUCAAUACCAAUUAGUAAAGGCACACACAUUAAAGUAUCUAUGUAUUUUUAAGUUAUUAUAGUGAACUAAUUUUAUUAAAAACAUAUGCCACUUUGUACAAUCUAUACUUUUGUAGAAAGCAUCUUAUUUUGCUAUGAAUGUAUAAUAAAAUAAGGAGAAAAUACAGAUCUUUAAUUUUUUCAUGAAUUUUAAAAUUGUAUAAUAUAAGUAAAACGAGAAAUAACCACAAACCAUUUCAAUAAAAAAUAUUCUAAAUGAAAAAGAUAUAUAAUUGCAUAUAUCAUAUAUUAAUUUACUGAAAAUAUUUGUGGAAUACUUUAUUAGUGACAAUAUUUAUUUCUUUCACUGAUUGUUAUAUCAACCAAAUUAGAAACAAAGUUAAAUGAAUUAUUUUUAUAGUAAAAAUAAAUUCUCGACAAACAAAAAUUUCACUCAAAAAUGAAAUUAGGACAUUGUCUUCAGCCUCAUUGUCGAGGAGCUGAGGGUAAAGAAAGCAACACAUGUUAUUCAAAGCUAUAUAUGAGACAGGGCAUUUGAGAGACUAUAAAUUUUCACUUAAAGCAACAAUGUUAAUCGCAGAAAAAUAAUGUUAUAAUUUAAAUAGUUAAAUUUUAGUUAGCAAUAAUCAGCCGGAUUAGAAUGGUUAAUCAUCAAAUAUUAUAAUUGAGCAUCUAAAAUUUGUGAAUAUUUAUAUAAACAAUUACAAUAUUACAUUUAAAUAAUUGCAAAUAUUCAUCUAGAUAAUUACAAUUGUUACUUAAAACCAUUGUGGAAAUAAUCCACUUGAAUUUUAAAACAUUAUAAAUUCUUCAAGAUGAAAAAAAACUUCCAUUUCUCCAUAUAUGUUAUUUUUGUCCCAAACCUAUUUUGUUGAAAAUUGAAUAUAAGUCAUAUCUUGUACUUCUGAAAAAUAUUUAUUUAUCUCUAACAAUCUGAUAAAUAUGUUAUCUUAAAACACUAUAUUAGAUUUGUGAUUAAUACUUUCUUAAUAGUUCUAAUUUUUUUUUUUGUCAUCGUCUUAAUAGUUCUAUGUUUUUUUGGGAUUUUAUAAUAUUUCAAAUAUUUAUACAUAGUAGGGUAUAAUUAUUUAUGACAAUUUUCAAUUUGAGAGUAUUUUGAAAGUGAUCUUUAAAUUAGAUUAUGUUAUACAAACUGAAAUAUAGGGUAAACAAUAAAAUAAAGAAGUAUAAUAAUAAGUAUAAUAAAAACCGACAGUUCAAUUGAAACUAAAUUCCAACUGAGCUUGGUAUAUCUUCAUCUCUUAUAGGUUUCAAAAAAUUAGACAGUUACACUAAAGUUGAUUUUUUGUGGAAAGUAGUAUAAAAUUUUGGUGUAACAUUAAUCAUCAGAUGCAAUUUUAAUAAAUUAUUUAGUUUAUUUUAUUUAAUAUUGGAAUUAACUUAAUUUAUUCAUUCAAUUAAAUUUGUAAUUAAAAUACAUAUAAAUUUUUUAAUUAAUAAUGCAUGUAUAGAUUAGUAAAACUAAAAUAGGUAAAUAAAUAAAUAAGUAUAUAAAAUAGUUAAAACAAAAAAUAUUUAUAUAAAAUUAAUGUACAACACUAUAACACAAAAUUUAAUGUUUUGAUUGGAGAUGACAUUUAAAGUAUAUUACUAAACUAAUAAAUUUAAUAUUAUUUCAACAUCCAAUGUAGUGUCAUGGUUGAAGUUGAACCUUAAAUAGCAAUGUUUAUAUAAAUUCUGAUUUGAUUAAAGACAGAUUGUAAUUAAGUAUUAUUUAAUAUUAUUUUCAUCAUAAUUAAGUACCUGACCAACUCAAUAUUGUAAACUUUCUCUAAAGUAUUGCAGUUUCCACAAAUAGGUACUUAUUUUUCCUGGUACUUUUUUUUUUUUGUUCACAACUACCUUACAUUAGAAAUUAAACUAGGUUCAAUACAAGGUUUUUUAGCACAUAUUUGGCUAUUCCAUCCACAUGAGAAACAGAGUUUCUACUGACCCAAUAAAAAGAAACAACAUCAAAAGCCAUAGAUAAAGCAUAAAUAUCACAGAGGAUUCCGUGCAAAUCUAAAACAUUUGAGCCUUCUUUAACUGCCUUCAUCAACCUGCUUGAAUCUGACUCGAAUGAGAUUUGUCUGAAAUCCCAUGAUACUGCGUCUUCCAUUGCUGAUAAUAAAGCCAACCCCUCCGCCACAAGGGGUGAUUUAACAUUUGUAAAAGUAAGGGAUCCUGAGCUUACACGCUCAUUCCCGUUACGUAGAAAUUCCCACGCCACCCCAGUGCAACGUUUCUCACUGUUCCAAGCUGCAUCAGACCUGCAAACCAUAUCACAUCUUGAUCCAAUUCCACUUAUCUCCUUCAGCGCCUUUGGUUGCUCAACCGCAGCCUGCGCCUGUGUCCAUUCCCUCGCAAGUCGGGCCGCCUUUGUCACAAUCUCUUGGGUUGCUAACUUUUCCUCUCGAAAGAUCAGUUGGUUCCUAGCCAACCAAAUACUCCAUAUAAUCCAUGCCGCCAGGUUCUCUGAAAUUACUCCAGUAGGGGGAAGAGCUACUGCUCGGUGGGCCCUUCUCCAUCCCUCCACAAAACUAGUGAUGUUGUUAAAUGAAAUCUCCAUUUUUGAUGGGAAUCUUCUCCACACCUCUUGUGCAACUGGACAUAGGAAAAAUAAAUGUAUUAUUGUCUCCGCUUCAUCACAGCUACAACACUUGAGAUUUGGGAUUAUUUGACGGGCUGCAAGUCUCUCAUUAACUGGGAGGGCAUUAUGAUACGCCUUCCAUAUUAGAAGUUUCAUCUUUGGUGGCAUGUGCAUUACCCAUAUGUCCUUAAUCCAUCUGCUAGGUUCUCCUGUUAUCCUUUGCAAUGUUGGGUUAAUUGCUCUCCUCUCUAAAGCUGCAACAUAUCCCGUUUUUGCAGUGUAUUCUCCUGAAGGGUUCCUCAACCAAAUUCGUUUAUCUGGUCCUCCCUUCCUGCUUGUUUUAAUGCUCAAGAUUGUUGUCUUCAGCUCUGGUAGUAGGCUUUCCACCUUUUCCUGAUCCCAUUCUCUCGAUCCCUCCUGAAAUAGAGACGAUACCAAGAAAUCUUUUGAAGCUUCCGUUGCAGGGCCCAUAAUUACCUCUCUCCGCUCUGUCGAUAUCCAAGCCUCAUCCCAGAUCUUUACUGAUUCUCCAUCUCCUAUCGCCCAUCCCAGAUGUUCAGCCAAAAGAUCUCUGCCAACCAAGAUACCGCGCCAGCCAUGAGAACACACCGCAGCUGGUUGAACUUCUAAGAAAGGGCUGUAUUUGCAAUACUUUCCCGUAAGGAUUCUGUCGAGUAGGCUCUGAGGUUUCAUAAUUAUUCUCCAGCUUAGUUUCCCGAGCAGAGCGUCAUUGAAACAUUCAAUAUCUCGGAAUCCCAAACUGCCAUCUCCUUUGGUCUUUGUAAGCGUGUCCCAUGAUAUCCAAGCCAGUUUUCUCUCAUCCGGUUUCGAAUCCCACCAAAACCUAGUCAAGGCUGAUUGAAUAUGUUUUACCAUAGACAUAGGUAAUUUGAAGCACGACAUUGUGUGAGUCGGCAUUGCCGCCAGUAUACUCUUCAGCAUCACCAGCUUGCCCGCGACAGAUAAUCUUUUUGUUGACAAACUGCAGGCUUUCUGUCGAAUUUUGUCUACCACCCCUGAGAAAAGAUCCUUCUUUUUCCUACCAAAAUGCUCGGGGAGCCCGAGGUACUUUCCCACCCCUCCUUCCUUUUCUAUCAGCAGCUCGUUUUUCACUCUAUCUCUUAGCUCCAGAGGUGCCAAUUUGGAGAAAGUUAUUGCUGAUUUAUCCUUGUUUAUUUUCCGAACCGACGCUUGCUCAUAAAGAAGCAAAAUAUCCUUCAACGCCUUCACGCUUUUCUUGUUUGUACGGCAGAAAAACAUCGUAUCGUCCGCAAAGAGUAGAUGGUUCACUCGGGGGCAUUCUGUUGCUACUCUAAUACCCUGUAGCUUCCCCUCCCUUUGUGCCUUCAAACACAGGCCCGACAGUACCUCGCUGCAUAAGAUGAAUAGGUACGGUGAUAGCGGGUCUCCUUGACGGAUUCCCCUUCCCGGUAUAACUCUUCCUUUCGCUGUUCCAUUCAUCAGGUAUGAGAAGGACACGGUUCUGACACACUGCAUGAUGGUCGUCACCCAUUUCUCAUGAAAGCCAAACCGUUGAAGUACUGAUUCAAUGAAACUCCAUUCGAGCCUAUCAUAAGCUUUGCUCAUGUCGGUUUUGACUGCCAUGGAACACCUCUUACUCGCCUCAGACGUCUUAAGGAAGUGAAGCACUUCGUGAGUAAUCAAAACGUUGUCCGAUAUGGCUCUGUUGGGGACGAAUGCUGACUGAUUUUCUGAAAUUAACUCAUCUAGGAUCGGAUGGAGUCUUUUCGUCAAGAGUUUCGAGAUUAUUUUGUAGUAGACGUUGCAUAGCGCAAUUGGUCUAUAAUCUGAUACACUCCUUGGGCCGUGUACCUUGGGAAUUAAACGGAUAUGAGUCUCAUUUAUUCCCUAUGGUAGUCGGCCUGUAUCGAAAAAACUCUGGAUCUCUGAGAUGAUCUCAUCCUUGAUAGUUUCCCAAUUUGUCUGAAAGAAGCCUGCGGAAAACCCGUCGGGUCCUGGCGCUUUAUCUUAAUGUAUAGAGAAUAGCGCUGCUCUGAUCUCGUUGGCGCUCGGAAUACUGAUCAGUAUCUCAUUAUUUUCUUCCGAGAUCAUUGGUGUUAUCGCUGCUUCUACAAUAUGUUUAUGUUCUUCCUCUUUCGAGGUGAAAAGAUCUGUGAAAUACUUCACGAUAGUGGAGGCGAUUUCCUCUUCCUUGUAAUGCACGACACCCGCUGUAUCCUCCAUCACAGUGAUAUUGUUUAUCGCCUUCCUGCCUUUUGUGAUGGAGUGAAAGUACCCCGUAUUUUUGUCUCCCAAGCUCAGCCACAGAAUUCUACUUCUUUGCCUCCAAAACUCUUCUUCAGCUUUAUAGGCUUCUCUCAGCUCUUGAUUUAUUUGGAAAAUACGCUCUCCAUCAUUUAGAGGACUUACCAUUGCCUCUUCGAGUUCUUGCUUUCGUGUAUCUAUGAUGGUACGACUGUUAGCUUGUUGUUCCUUGUUCCAUCUCACGAUGGCUCCUCUCAAACUGAUGAUCUUCUGAGCUACUGUCUCCCCUCUAGGACCCUUCCAGGUACUUGCAAUUAGAUCCUUCACCAAGGGGUUGUUCUUUAGUCUCCUGUCGAACCGGAAUAGUCCUUUUCCUUUUUUCCUCGUCACGUCAAAACAAAUGAUGAUAGGCUUAUGAUCAGAUCCUUCAUAAUUCAAGUACUCCGAGUGUCCUGAUCCAAAACUCUCAAACCACUCACUGUUGGCCAUGGCGCUAUCCAAGCGUCAGUGGACUACUCCUUCACUUCGGACCCCCCUCCAAGAAAGAAAAUCACCCGAAUGAUAGAGGUCAUACAGAUCAUUUUCCGAUACAAAAGUACGAAAAUCAACAAACGAGCCUUCUGUUCUUUCUACUCCUCCCUCCUUAUCUUGGUUGUUGAGCAUGUCAUUGAAAUCACUGGUGACAAACCAUGCUCCAUUUCUGUCUGCCGCGGUGUCUGUGAGCUCUCUCCAGAUCUGUCUUCGCUUUACUAUGUCCGUAUGACCAUAAAUGAAAAUCGCAUAAAAUACUUUUCCUUCAUAUCGCAGCAUUGUAUCAAUAAAAUUUUUGCAAGAGUUCAAAACCAUCAAUUCGAUUUCAGCUUUCCAAAACAGAGCAAGUCCUCCACCCCUUUGAUCAGUAGGGGGAUCAAAUGAUUGUUUACAAAUUCUGACGAUUGAAACUUCCGGAGCACAACGUCGUCAGCGUUCAUUGUCUCUGAGAGGAAGAAAAUAUCCGGGUUAAUACAUUUCCGUAUUUCCCCUAUCCGCUGGACUGUCUGAGGGUUCCCCAGCCCCCGACAGUUCCAGCUUGCUAUCUUUAAGGAGCUGGAUUGGAUGGAUUGUGAAAAUCCAUCUUUUUCUUUGAAGCCGCCGGGAAAACCUUCGUCUUUGGAUUUGAAGUUGACGCUCCGACUGCUUGGUUAAGCAACUCGGUCUUCUUUGAGUUAACCGUCUGUCUCCCCACUCGCCUCUUUGGGGAUCCUUUCAGCUGUGCAACCUUUCUUGAUUUUGUUGAGGCCGCUCCUGCACGCGUCGAAAUAACUCCAAGUUUCCUAACCACUGGGGGUCUGCCCAGACGUUUCUUGGCUGACACUCUCCCCUGCUGGCUUGAAAUUUCUCCUUCCUGGUCUGAAAGGGAUACGCCUCCCAGCCGGCAUGUCGCUGGUACUCUUGGAGGAACCACUUCCGGGCUUUCAGCUUGCACCCAGGUUCUUUGGACGUUCAGCAUUUGUCUGGCCAUAUUUUCCGCUGUUUCUUCUACUUCUUCUACUUCUCCUUGUUCUUCUGCCCUCCUCACUCUCUCCCUCCUCGCUGCACUUUCGGUUGGGUCAGCACACGAGGUAUAUUGGAUCAUUACUUCUCUCAGUUCUUCCCUUACUACCUCCAGUACUUCGUUGGGAAUUUCCUCUAGCUGAGGCGCAGCUCUUGGGACGUGAGUUUUUACUGAUUUAAGUGGGGAUCUUGGGAUCACUCCAUCUUCGGGGUUAUUCGGCUGCCUUUCCUUGUUCAGGUUUCUCCUACCAGUUUCAGAGAAAGGUUCACCACUCCUGCUUCCAAAACUGUCGACGGUUCUGUUUGUGGUAGGGAAGCGUCGUCCAGAGUCCACCCAUCUUUCUUCUCUUCUGCUGCUGUUGUGAUGGGCGCCUUCUUUUAAAUAGCUUGUAUCUCUUCUACUACAAGUUUCAUAGGCUCUAGGAACCCUCGAGUCAUAAGGUCCCACUGAUCUGUGGGAACGUUCUCUACCUUCCCAAGAGUAAUGAUCUCUUUAACCUCUCGAGCGAUCGAACCUUCUCUGCCCUUGCUUCUCACGGUACUGGUUGUCUCUUCUUUCAUCAUGGUUGUGGCGGGCCCUUGGAACUUGAUAACGAUCCUGCCUCAAUGGUUCUCUAUCUCUUAGAUGAACAUUACGAGCGUUUACUCUUCUUUGCUCUACUAACUCAGGGCAACCCUCUUCCUCGUGAUCCAACUUUGAGCAGUGUAGACAAUGUUUGUCAAGCUUUUCAUAUAAUAACGUAGCUAUGAUUUCUCCUCCCGCUGCAAACUCCAGCGUAUACUGUUUUAGUAUCGGUAGCAGGCCAUUUAUCUGCACUCUCAUGCGCAGAUUCCCCGGCGUGAUGUCACAACCUAGAUAAAUCCCGAGAUCCUCUCCCAUACUUCUUAAGAUAUCUUCCCUCCAGAGGUGGAGAGGGACUCCGUGCACCCGUAUCCAAAACGGGAUUUGAGAUGGAAAGGAUGCAGACAUUGUAGGUUCCCAUUUUUGGAGGAUAACCAUCCAUUUGGCAAAAUGGUAAGGUCUUUUCUCGAGAACUAAAGCCAUAUCCUCUGCAUUCGCAAAUUGAAACUGGAAAAGUCCUUGCCCCAGAUCUGCUCCAAUAGGUCUUGAACUUGUUUUCCACAUAUCCGAGAAGAAUGGAAUUAACGACCAGACCCGUUGAUACUUGAGAUUUGUUACUCUUCCCACCAACGUAAGCUCAUGUUUCUGUAUCAUCUCGGUGGUAUCGACCUCAGGGACCAAGAUUCUCCCAGAACGAAGAGGUUCAGAGGUUUGAGCCACUCCUUUGCCUUUCUCAUCGUAGGUUAAACGUCUCGCCAUUACUUCUUCUUAUAUUUUCCAACAAAAAGGUUCUUCACCACACAGGUGAGAAGGUUCUGUAGGACUUAGUCACUACGAAUUUUGUACCCUUGCAGAGAAUCCUUUGUUCUUACUGCAGAAAACUCAAACCAAAGAAACAACAGCCGGUCUCCAGCGAAACAGUCGGUCCAUGGUGAGCAUAAGUUUACUGAAAAAACCUUACCGGAGCUUGGCGGCGGCGGUCCCUCCAUGGAUUAGCUCAGGUCGGUAAAUUAUCCAGUAGGUAAAGCCCCAAAACGGCAAAAGAUUCGAAAAAAUAGGUGAAUGUUCAGAGAAUUAUGGAAGGUUUGGUGAAAGUGUCAGGAAAAGCAACGGGGUUGUACACGAGACCGGCGGUUAAAGACUUUUCUAGACAAAAGUGCCUGGGAGAACUUUCUCACACCUCUCUCUUUCAGAUCUCUCAGAUUCAAAAUAUUUUUCCUGGUACUUAUUCACAUCAUUUUAUCCUCUUAAUCAAAAAAUUCAUAUAAAAACGCUAAUUUAGAUUUGUACUUUUUUCUAAAAAGACAUAUUAUAUUUUUCAAUUAUUAAACAAUAAAAAUCAGAACAUAUUUAUAUCUAUUAUUACUAAAAACUAUCCAUAUAAACGAUCAAGUUUAAACAAUCUAAAAGUUGAUAUUAUAUCCAUAAAUAGCCAUAAUCUUACAAUCUCACCUUUUUAUUGUGUGUAAAUUCCUCAUAUAUUAACUUCUUUGAAUCUGGUACGACCAAUAAAAAAUGAUAAUAAACAAUAAAUAUUCUGAUUUUCAUAAGGAAUUCUAACCCGUAUACCGGAUAAAACAGUGUAUAUAUUAAAGAAACAAAGCUAUGCCUAUAGUAUAUUGAAAAAGACAUUCGACUUAGGCCCCUGAUUAAUAUAAAUUUUUUGGGACCCCAAAAUUUGAAAUAAUACUUUCCACUAGAAUUCGAAUAGUUCACCUUCUGAAUUCAACAUUUUUUUUCUAUAUGAUAUAAUUAUAUCAUAUUUACUUAAUAAACUUAAUUUUUUAUAAUUUUACACUUAUGUAUUUGGUGAAGAUGAUAGAUUGUAUUAAAAAUACGUUUUAAUAUUUUUUUUUUAAACUUGCCUUAGACCCCUAAUACCCUUCGUACGGUAAAAGAAAGCGUUCUCCCUCCUCUUGGCCAGAAUGUUCACUCCGCCUGCCUAUCUUCGCAUCCUACGCGAGAUUAACCGGUGAUUAAUCCUCGAGUGAUCCAAUAUCGAUCGAUGACGCUGAACAGCUGCACGCGAGAUUAACCGUUCAUGACAAGUUUCAAGCAUCGCUGAAUCUAAAAGUAACAACACAAAUAUAUUUACGAACACAUCGUUGGUUUCUUCACAUCUUUUUUGGUAGUCUUAACUUGUAGAGGGACAAAUGGCAAGAUAAUUAAAUCCAUCUUCUAAACACUCAAAUCCCAAAAGCAGAUAUAUGCAUUAAAUACAUAAGUACAACAAGCCUUCAUUUUCUUUUUGCUAUGGUUCUUGAGAUUCAGUCACGUUCAUUCUCUUUCAUGUUGUUGUUAUAAUGAUGAUAUAGUUGCACAGCAAGUAGGUUGGCGUCACAAUUUAUUUAUUUAUUUAUUUGAAACCUUGGAAAUAUAUGUAUUGCAACGCAAUGAUUGUGAAACCUUGUAAAUAUUGAAUUAUCAUCGAAACUUGGCUCACUUUCCACAUAUUCUUCAAGUACAAGCUUCCCCACUUAAACUCAUGCACAGACAAGUGUUGCACUUGAGAAUUAUUUUACUGAAUAAGAAGAAUAUAUACUUAUUUAUUCACAAUUAUCAUAUCAGUUUUCCAAAAUGUCACGAACCAAUCACUGAUAAAACAAUGAAAAUCAGAGUAAACUGCAAUACAAAAACUGGGAGAAAGUACCUAAAUCAGAAAGGAAAGAGAGAAAAAGAAAGUUACAAGGGGCUCGUUCGUCACUCAAUCUCCUUGCACGCACUGCUAACCAUUCAAAUAGAGAUCUGAUCACAAAGACAUUCAAAUAGCGACAAGCCCUGAAAAUUAAAACGGCAGAAACAAAUAUGUAUACUUAAAAAGGAGGACGAUUAACAAAAUUAAAGAGGCAUAAAUUAAUCAGACAUGACUAGCAGUGUUGGAAACUCUUCAAAGUAGGGAUAUAUUAAAACAAACAAAUGGUUUACAAACAAUUAUGUUGAAAUUUGUUCUGAGAUUCUGGGUGGAAAGAUGGACACUUCUAUGAAUUGAAUGUCCGCAAACAAAAUUUCCGGAAUUGGAUGUUAAAGGAGACGGGAGCGAUAAAAAACGGGUGAGAGAAAACUUGAUGAAUGAACUCUAAAAAACUGCAAACCUGUACGGUCUAUUCUAUAAAUAAGUUUUUGAACAGAGACAACUCUUGGAGAUGAUGACGGUUCUACAAUUUGUCUAAGAUGAUACGCCUUUGAAGAGUUGUGACUUAUCAUUAAACAAAAUUUUAUCCAAUAGAUUAUAUAUGCAGAGGACAAUUACCACCGUUGGAUAUGAUUUUUCCUAUUAAAAAGGUGACGUGAGCAGUUAGAAAAAAACCAGGCUUGCUAUUAUAUGACACCUAUUUCUACAUUUAAAAAAAAAGCAAUCUUUAAAAUAUAAAUACAAUGUUUAAAGAAUAAAACAUACAAAACAUAACAAAUAGAAUCUAAAAUUUAUCUUUUGGAUGUAAAUUUACAUUUCUAUAACGAAAAGACACAUUUAAACUUUUUCACAUUUUUUUUCAAUAGUUACAUGUUGAAAAGAUCCAACCUUUCAAAAUUAAUUAAAAUUCAAUAAAUGUGAAAUGAUGCAAUUUUUCAUCUUGAACAUUAGUUAUUAUAGAUUGUGAAAAUAUAUAUAAAAAGUGUCUUCUUUUUGUAAAAAAAUAUAUGAAUAAUCACAACUUUUCAUAUUUUAGGUUAUUUUAUUUCAAAUAGCACUUUUCAAAUAGCACAUUUAUAUGAAAAGACAACAUAACAUUUAUUCACAAAUAUUGAAAACAGUUUUAUAUUGAAGAGAUACAACCUUUAAUCAAAAGGCAGAACAAACAUAAUUUUUAACAAAAAAAUAAGAUAUGAAAAGACACAAUAUAACAUUUUUUUUUGACACAACACAACAUUUAUUCACAAAAUUUUAAAACAGUUUCAUAUCAAAGAGAUACAACCUUUAAUCAAAAGACACCUUAAUGAACAAACACAAAUUUUAACAAAAAAUUGAAAUUUCUAUAAACGCACACAACUUUGAAAUUAAUUGGGAUUGCUAUUAUUAGUAGAUAAAUUGAAAAUAAGUUAAUCAAUCAUAAAUAAUAUAGUAAAACUUUCAAUAAAGUAUCAUAACAUCUUAUAUUUUGAUACAUAACUUUUCCGAAACAUCUUAUAUUAUGGAACAGAGGACUAUAAAAAGUGUUUAAUGAAACUUUCAAGCACGGGAUUGAACGAUCCGCGCAAGGAUCGAUAGAUCGCGGAUCGAUAGAUCCCCGCCAAGGAUCGACAUAUCCUUUACAGAGAUCGGUAGAUCCACACUACUAGAUCGACCGAUCUACGUCAUAUUUAAACAAAUCUUCUUGUAUAUAGAAAUAUAAGCAAUAUACAUAUACUUUUUGUUGUUCUCUCUAUUCUUCGUAUUCUCUUUCGUUCUCUGAUAUUUUACUCUAAACUCUAUCCUUUCCUAACCCUUUAACAAAGUUUUCUGUAAGUAAAAGUAAAUUUGUAGCCUCUUUUCUUGUGGGAUUUGUUCUGCCUACUCCCAAAGAUGAUAUGGAUGUCCACAUCGGUGAACCUCGUCGGCGGUCAAAAAAAUUUACAAAAUAUAUGAAUAAUCACAACUUUUCAUAUUUUAGGUUAUUUUAUUUCAAAUAGCACUUUUCAAAUAGCACAUUUAUAUGAAAAGACAACAUAACAUUUAUUCACAAAUAUUGAAAACAGUUUUAUAUUGAAGAGAUACAACCUUUAAUCAAAAGGCAGAACAAACAUAAUUUUUAACAAAAAAAUAAGAUAUGAAAAGACACAAUAUAACAUUUUUUUUUGACACAACACAACAUUUAUUCACAAAAUUUUAAAACAGUUUCAUAUCAAAGAGAUACAACCUUUAAUCAAAAGACACCUUAAUGAACAAACACAAAUUUUAACAAAAAAUUGAAAUUUCUAUAAACGCACACAACUUUGAAAUUAAUUGGGAUUGCUAUUAUUAGUAGAUAAAUUGAAAAUAAGUUAAUCAAUCAUAAAUAAUAUAGUAAAACUUUCAAUAAAGUAUCAUAACAUCUUAUAUUUUGAUACAUAACUUUUCCGAAACAUCUUAUAUUAUGGAACAGAGGACUAUAAAAAGUGUUUAAUGAAACUUUCAAGCACGGGAUUGAACGAUCCGCGCAAGGAUCGAUAGAUCGCGGAUCGAUAGAUCCCCGCCAAGGAUCGACAUAUCCUUUACAGAGAUCGGUAGAUCCACACUACUAGAUCGACCGAUCUACGUCAUAUUUAAACAAAUCUUCUUGUAUAUAGAAAUAUAAGCAAUAUACAUAUACUUUUUGUUGUUCUCUCUAUUCUUCGUAUUCUCUUUCGUUCUCUGAUAUUUUACUCUAAACUCUAUCCUUUCCUAACCCUUUAACAAAGUUUUCUGUAAGUAAAAGUAAAUUUGUAGCCUCUUUUCUUGUGGGAUUUGUUCUGCCUACUAAACGGUUUCCACAUUGGUUACUCAGUUUCUUCAAAACUAGAUAAUUUUGUUUUGGUUUGGGAAAAUUAGAAAGGAAAGCUUAAGUGUUUAAAUGGUUUGCCACGACAAGUUAUCAUCUAGUUAUGAUUUAUAUAAAUAUAUUCACCUACUCAGUCUUGUUAAAGAAAAUCAUCUCUUGUUGGCUUUGACCAAAGAUCUUUUAUCCUCUAGUUAUGAACAUAUAACGAGAUCAUCAUCUUACCUAUACUUUGAUCACUAAUCGUAUUUAUAAACAUAUAGAUGCGAUCAUCGCACAUGUAUUUUGCUCCCAUUUCCAGGAAGCAAAGCAGAUGCUGUGGAGAACGAACAUAAGAAAAUGGGCCAUUUGAUAAACAUUUUAAAGACACUAUAAUGAUUCGAAGACAAUUCGGGAUUGAGACAAAGUCAAUGUUCUUUAAACUUUUAUUCCAUGUGGCAGUGAGGUCUGAGACUAACUCAAUAACCGUAUUGCGUCUUCGGUGAGUUCAUUGAUCGUUAAGCCAUGGCGUGCCAAGCCAACCGUGCCCGAGAAUAUAUCAAAGUUCUCAACCUCAGCUGCAGUCUCAAAGACUGUCUCUAAUUCAUUCUUCAUCCCAAGGGUUAGGAAAGUGUUGACCGUCUCAGGAUUAGUUCUCAUCAUCUGAAUGGUUAGUUCAAUUGCAAACCUCCUGAUUCUUGGAACUUUUGGCACCGGCUGUUCAUGUCUCUUGAGAAUGUUGACUAAUGCAGUGGCUAGUUCUUCCUUGGUUACUCCUGCUUCCUCGAACAAUUCUCUUGAUUCUUCAGCACUCAUUAACCUGAAAAUGUGCGGUGCUAAUCCCACCAUAACCUCUUGAGGUUUGCUCUUUUCAGACAUUAUUGCCUUAAGAACCUGUAGUGUGACAAGAUAACAUUUAGUGAUGAUAAUGAAUUCUAUCUAAUCAAGAUCAUCAAGACUUACUGUUGCUCCAGCUGAUUUAACUUCCUUCAGCUGUUCCUUAACUUGAUUAGGAUCUGUAUAUGCACAUAUAUUCCUCAAGAUUCUCGCUGCAUUCGACCGAAUCAAAGGGUUGUUCAAAGCCUCAACAAGGCCCGGAAGAACAUCAUCUGAUCUCAACAUCCGCUGGCAAUUGCUCUGACUUCCUUGAGCUAGCAUUGCUAUAGUCUCACCAACAGAGUCUCUCACUCCACUAGUCUGAUUCCCUGGAAUAUCAUCAUUCAAGAAUAUGCAGAGAAGUCCAUUUAGAACCCCGCCUGUGCCGCCAAUUUUCUCAGUUGCACCUUCGUCAAGCGCAAGGAAAGUCAAGAUCUCUGCACCAAGCUUCUGCAAACCAGGCUGCUUCUUUCCAUGGCGUAAUGUUUCCCUAAUGUUGCUUACUGUGAAGACAAUGCCGGAGAUAUCUCUCCUCAAGUUUCUCCCUGUUGCACCCGUUGUUUUCACCAGCUUCCUUAACAGCUUCAAUGACCGUUUCACAGCCAAGAUCUUAUUAGACGCAAGAUUUGGAUCUUUCAGCAACCUCUUCUCAGCAUAAGUGAAGUCAAUGAUCUUUGAAAGCAACCCUUUUGUUUUCCCAAUCUUCACACAGUUAUCAUGAUCUCUAGCUAGCCUUUUCAAAAUCAACAGUCCAAGAUUGUUGAACGUCCAGCGAUCGGUUUGAUUGAUACUGUUUUCUCCAAUCUCAUCAGUGGCUUGACCCGAAUCUCUCGUGCUAUCUAAAAUAGAAGAUAUGGACUCAAUCGCUCCAGGGAUCCCUGCAACUCUCAGAGAGUUUUGCUUCUUACUAGCUAAUCUUGAGAGAAUCUCUGCAGAUGACAUUCUCAUAACUUCUUGAUUCUUGUUUCUCCAAUUCAACAUCUCAACCAACCUCUCUAUGAUCUCCAGGUUGGUCCCAAUCUUCUGCAGGGUAUCAACCGAAUAGUCUUCGCUUGUUGAGAAUCUAUAGAGAAUCUCUGCUCCAAUGAGCUGCUCAUCAGGAGAAUUUGACACCAAAAGCUCCAUGGCGAAAACGACCAUAUCCAUCUUCAAUCCGUCAAAGAUGCUCCCGUUUAGACAUCUUGAGUAAGCAUUGUAGAAGAAUCUUCUCACUGAAUCAGUUCCAGACCUCUCGAGACCUCAUUCUUGAUUCACUUUAUCAAGAAUCUUGUAAACGCUGAUCAUCCACUCCCAGUAAGCUUUCUCAACAAGAAAGAGAAGAGCCUCCGCGAGCGCUAGAGAGUAGAAGAGAGUUAAAGAGGAGUGAAGAUUGGUGCUUCUGGAUUUCAAUUCGCUGCCUCCAUAAUCUUGCCUGAUGAGCUUGAUCAUGGAGAUGAUAAUGCUAGCGAAAGCAGAAGCAAUCUGGAGCCAGUAGCAGAAUCGACUCACGUUUCUUGAAACGAAAACCCAUCCUGUGUAAGGCAACAUUGGAACAUCUGAGCUUGUCCAUGUCCUGGUCCGCUCGAUCUGCCUCGGAGUCCUCUGUUCUGUUUUACUUUCCUGAACCGAUGAUCUAUCGUUGUUCCCAGAAAUAUGAGCUUCCUUGCGGAAUAUUCUGAUAAACUGUCUGACAAGUAACCGGAAGGUGUUGAUUCCAGAGAUUGUGUAUUUAGACUGAUGCUGCAUUUCAAGCUCAUGGCUUCUGCUGAAGAUCCGAGCUCCUUCGACAACAAGAAUCACAGUAACAAACCAAAAAUCUGAUGUCUCUAAACUUGCGGCGAAACCACCAAGAAGAACAACGGAGGCCCAUACGAAUCCUAAAGAUCCCAACCGUGAAGCAAUCUGUGGUUACAAGUUCAUUAAGAACACAUUAAAAACUUAAGAAAACAGACUCAUAAAUUUAUUUAUUUUUUAAACAGAAGAAUAUCGUAAUAUAAACAACCUUCUCAAGAACAGCGAGUCGUAAGGCAAAAAGAGUCAGUUUUUUCUCCGGGGCAGGAGCUGACAAGUGUGUCUGUCUCCUAGGUUCUGGGGUCAAUGCGUUGUCUGGUAGGAAAAUAUUUCCUCCAGAAGAACUGACAUGUACAACCACAUCCGUAGUUUGAUCAACCAUUUGAAACAAAACAGAGGAGAAAGAAAUGUUCUUGUUUUGGUUUUGACGCAUAUAAUUUGAUUUAUAUCUAAAAGAAAGGACACUAUGAAGUUGCUUUUUUAAGUAUUGGACAUUCACCAUGCACGUCUUUGAGUUCAAUCCAUUGACUUUUGGAAGACAAUGCCUCUUAGACAACAACCUUGUACGAACCAUUGGUUACACAAACCAAUAGUAUUUUGCCAUUUUAUAAAGAGUGUCAUUUUAACUUUUUUUUUUUUACGCAAAAAACUUUAUUCAAGAAUUUCAAUGCAAAUAAUAUUUACUUUCACUUGAAAAUUAAUUGCGAACAACAUUGAGUUUAUAAAUAAUUUUAUUUAUCUAAAAUUAUUGGUCAAAAAAAAGUAAUUAAUAACAAUUUAAAUACAACUGACAAAAAAAUAACAAUUUAAAUACAUUUUAAUCACUUUAUUAAUCUGUAUGAAAAAUGUCAAAAUAACACUUAUUCAGAAACAGAAAAAGUAUAUAAUAGCAUUUUAAUCCCGUUUAUUGUUUUUUUUUUAUAAACCCUAUCGGUUGAUCUGGUCGGUCCCGGAAGAAACGCAUUUAGUGCUAUAAAGUGGACUAGCCCGAAAGCGUACCACACUGCCUAAUCCGAGUUUGGAAUAUCUUUUGACUAAUGCAAGGGAGUGGACCGAUCUUCUGUUAUGGUCCACCAUGUAAACCACUUGGGCUAAAUCCCAAACCAAAACUGGCCAAGUGGUGAUAAUUUAGUUUCCAGAGAAAAUCGAACUCAUCAGGUACACUAGGUACACUGUGUAACAAUAAUAAGUAGCCACGUUAUUAUUGUUAUAUAAUAACUUUUAUUAAUCUUGUUUAUUUUUAUUUUUAAUAAUGUAUAUGUAUACCAAAUAAUCAUCGAAAGUGUUGUUAACUAAAAGCAUUUAAGUAUUGAACGUUUUAGGAACGAUCGUAUCAUUGUGAAUCUUGUAAUGGUUGAGCUGGAUAUAUCAAAUCAUAGGGUCAUAAUCAUGUCAAUGUAUUAAUUUUCUUUUCUAAAGCAAUUGCACGAUUCAAAGAUCAUAGUGACUUUAUUUUGCUAGAGAUGCAAACGUCUUAACGCACGUCGCUUGCAUUCUGAAAAUACAUGACGAGGCAUGUUCUGACAUCAAUAUAAUAUUUAAUCAAAUAAUUAUUAAUUGCAACUAACUAAACAAAAUUUGAGUACGUAAUAUCGUCGUGAUCAAGUUAUAUAUAUUGCAAGAGAAAACCAAUGAAUCAUUUAGCAAUUUUAUAAUCAACUAGAUAUUUUCUUGGCGCGCUACGCAUGGCUAUGUCUUUUGAAUUUAUACUCAGAGAAAUUGCCAAAAUGGAACAAAAAAACAAUAUAAUUGUCUUUAUGGUAUAAAACCAUUUUAUCCAUUUUUUUUCUCUCUUUUACCUUUUCAUUUUUGAAAAUUAAUGAAAUAAAUAUUUUUAUGAAUUCAAAAAAAUAUUAGAAAUAUAAACAAUUAAUAAAACACCUAUAUACAUAAACACAUUUUUUUUGGUUGAAAAACUUGAUAAAUAAAAUUUUAAAAUUACGUUCUACUAAAAGUAGAGUUCGUCUUCUACAGAAAAUGGGUAAGUAGAAAACGAAUUCCAGAACAAACAAGUUCAUCUACUUUUUUUAGAAAAAACAAUCUACUUGUGAUUAAAAUUCUAAAUAUGAGGAAUGCAAAUUCUACUAGUUGUAAAGAUUUCUACUUUUAUCUUGAAUACAAUUUCUACUUUUUAUGAGAAAUCUAAACUUAAUACAAACGUCUACAAGAAGUAGAAAUUGUAUUCAUGAUUUUUAUUAUGAUUCUACACAGUGUAGAAGGUGUCUUCUACGGAUAAAAAAAUUGGUUUUCCGAAAAUUAAAGAAGUUUUAGUUAAAAAAAUAUUCUAAAAAUAUUCUAAUUUCCUAAAACGUAUUCUGGUCGAUUUUCUUUAUCAAAAUAUCAAAAAAAAAUGAUGUUGGUUUUUCUUCUUCAUCAAUCUAUGAUUUCUCUAUAGUUUGUCAUUUGAUUUUCACACUCUUGUUCUACGACUAAGGAACAAAUUUUUGGUAGUUUCAUGCAUCGUGUGAAACUACUUAAUUUUCUUGGUUGCUGCUAGUAGUUCGAGCAUGUCUUAUACUUUGUUCUUUUUUUUUGAAAUCUCAUGUGGUAAACUUUUUAAUAUCACCUAAAACAUUAUCAUAACGAGUCCUAUGCCAAUGUCAUAAUAGCUUCAGGAUACAGAUUAACUAUCAUAAAAGAAAGCUAGAAAGCGCCGAUGGUGGCUGUCCCUGUCCACGGGUUACCGAAAUAUACACGCUUGAGGACUUGUUGACUUCACCCGCUAUAUCAUAGUAAGAACCAGGAUCUACGAUGACUGUCACGAGCUUGUUCACCAUCUGCGCAACUUUAGCGGGUUGCCAAAUCUAACUUUUUAGUAUUCCUUUCAAACCAGAAACCACCACAAAUCAUUCAAUGCACACGUUUUAUAUGUAUACUGAUAUAAAAUAAGGAGAAAUGAGUUACCUUUCUCGAGAAGCAAGUCAACGUCUUUAUCAGUGUCAAUGAGAUAAUCUAAGAAUAAGGCGUAGCUAUAGACGUGGUUGUGUUUAGGGUAAUGGCACUGCUCAAGAGCUAUUAUGUUUCUCAGUUUUAUCUCACGGCUGUCAUGCAAAGAAGAAAGAGAUAGUUUAGACAUAACACAAAAUCAUAUAGGAUCUGAAAAAAUCAAUCGAAGAAAUAUCAAAACCGAAAACAAAAAAAACUAAAGAGAAACUGGAAGGAAAUAGUUUCGAGUUUUACCUUGCUUCUAGGAAUGUUGGAGAAAGAGAGAGGCGUAGAUACAGAGGCGUAGAGGCGGAGAGGCGAAGAGGUGUAGCGGCUGAUAUAAAAAUCUAUUUAAGUAUUCAAAAAAAUAGUUUUUUAAAAGGUGUCUAACCACCGCAUACCGAUUAUUUGAACACUAAAAGAUGUUUAUUAACGUUGUUGUACCUGAUAUCCGAAACUUUACGACAUUCUCUUACACCAAAAUCUUAGACAGCAUCUGCUUGCUGUCAAGGCAAGGGGCCAUGCGUAUUUGGAGAAAGGACUACACACCUGGUUUGGAACAAGGCACGUUCCAAAUCCAUCACGAAGGCUGUGAAGACUUUUUUUAUUUUAUAGUUGAAUGAGUAUAUAAAUAAAAACAUAAGCACUAGAUGUAACUUAGUUUUUUGCUUGAAAUAAUUAUACAUUCAAUCAAUAUAUAUAUAUAUAUAUAUAUAUAGUAUCUUUAGCUAUCACCAACUCAAUAUAUAAAAUUAAUAUGUAACCAGAGGUGUAACACCUCCGAACCGUUCUAAACAUAGGUCGACCGACCGGCACAAUCAAACAAGAACAUGACUAACCGUCCAACUCAACAUUAUGGUUUGAAAGCGCUAUGUGACGGGCUAAGGACGGUCCGAUCAGAGUCACAAAAUUUACUCCACGACUAAGACCAUUUCAUCUACUAACUCGUCCUGCUAAUUCAAGGCGUAAGGCUUUGCAACCCAUACCAAGAUUUAGCGUUUCCGUUAGAUCAAGGCCUAAGGCUUUUCAGUCCAUACCACGACCUAACGUUGUGUUAGACCGGACUAGUCAAUUAUCAGAGUACUCAUGAUGCACAUAUAAAACAAAUACUUUAUUGAUUUAAGAAAUAUUCAUACAUUGAAAUAAUUCAAGGCCGAACCUAGCCUAAUGCCAACUCGAGUCAAAUAACACAAAACGCAAUACCGUAUACAAAAUGCAUGAAAUCUACUACGGCAGUCCUAACGUCCAACUCCAAGCUAUCGGAUCAUCCUUAACUAAAGCUACCUGCAAAAACGACAACAGAGUUGGGUGAUUAACCUAAUGUUGCUCAGUGAGCUAGUAACCUCUACCCGCAACCUAGAUUCUAACCCCGACAACCCAAAAUAACAAUCAAUCUAGCCCUAGCAUGUAAUCCAAAACUAAAGCUAAACAAUCAAUCACUAGUUAACCAUAUAUACGCAUGAGUUCAAUACUCAUGUAGUGUUAGACAUUUAGAAGAUAAAAGUAUUGUUAACUGGUCGACCAACAAUCAGACAAGAACAUGAUCGGCCAAUCAAUGAUACCGUAUAGCUUUCAAUAUCCACCACUCUUCACAAGCAAUCAUUCAAACACAUACAUGCCAACGUCAGGCCUACACUAACCAAAUACACACCAAACCUAAUCUGGUAUAUGAGCCGGAAUUAGGACUUAAUGUCAGAAACCUACAAGUAAUUCAAUCAAUCGCCAAACACAACCACAAUAAUAAGACUCUAACUAACUACGACUCGGUCUAACUCAUAACACCGUAUAUCAGUGCUACACUUACUUUAGGGUUCCAUAACCUUUUACUCUAAACGACACUCUAACUCAACACUCUAACUCGACACUCUAACA
rnacentral:lncRNA from 1 species